rnacentral:lncRNA from 1 species
AGGUGGACACAGUAUCUUUAUAUUUAUGUGGUGCUGAGGAUCCAACCCAGUGCCUCAUGCAUACUAGGUGAGCACUCUACCACUGAGCCACAACUCCAGCCCCAGCUAUGGGUAAUCUUAAUGGAAGGUUUUUAGGAAGUAAAAUGGUAAUAUAGAGAUACUUAGACCUAAAGAUAGCAUGGAUAGUUCAAAAAUGGUAAAUAUAUAGGUAAAUAUUUUUUUUCACUUUAAAUUUCUUUAAAGGAUAUUUUAUGGUUUAAAGUAAAAGUGUAACAAUGUAUUGAGAUAGCAUAUAUAAAAGUAAAAUGGAUGGCAACAACAACAACAGGAAGUCCAGGAGGGAAAAUUUAAGUAUAGUGUUGUAAAAAUUUCUAUACUCUGUGUAAAGGGGCAUGAUAUUUUUCAAAUUAGGAAGUUAAAUAAGGUGAAUUAAAUACACACACAAACACACACACAUAUAUAAACAAUAUAUAUGGUUAAAUAUUUAUAUAUGAGUAAAUAUAUUGGUUAAUCUAUAUAUAUACAUAUACACACAUAUAUAUCUUUAACUUACAUCAUGAUAAAUCUAUCAUGAUAUAUAUCUAUGGAUAUAGAUAUCUUUUUAACUUAUCUAUGAUAAAUAUAUCUAUGGAAUAUAGACAUAUAUCUCUUUAACUCAUAUAUAUAUAUUUAUAUAUGUAUGUGUGUGUGUGUGAUAUAUAUAUAUAUAUAUAUAUAUAUAUAUAUAUAUAUGUAUAUAUAUAUAUAUAUAUUUUAAUGCUAUGUGCUGUCUGUAAUAAACAUACUGUAAGUAGACUUCAAGGAAUAAGCAAACAUAGUCCAUGUACAAAGGAAUCCAAUGAGAGCUUGGGAUGUCAAUGUAGACAUCAAAUAAGGAGUAUUAUCACAAAUGAACAGAAAUACCUCACAGUGAUAAAUCAAUAAAUUUACCAUAAAUACAUACUAAUCAUAAAGAUUCAUGCCACUAAUAAUUGCAAAAUACAUGAAGCAAAUUCACAUUGAUAGUUGAAGAUUGUAACAUUCUUCUCUCAAUAAUUCCUACACCAAGCAGACAGAAAACUAUGUGUAUAGAAGACUUAGGGAGCAGUAUCAAUAAUACUGGACACAGAAGCUACAGAAUAAAAAUUGUUUAUAAAAAAUAAACAUAGACUCUAAAUACACAUAGACUCUAUUUUAUGGCAUAAAAUUCACCUUAAUAAAUUUAGGAUGAUUGAAAUCAUACUGUUAACAAUGGAGGUAAACUGGAAAUCUGUAUUAGAAAAAUACAUGGACAAUCCUAAGUCAAAUUUUAUAGGAUAUAGCCAAAGCAGUGUUUAUAGGGAAAUUUUUCAGUCAGUUUGGGCUGCCCUAACAAGGAUAUCAUAAACUGGAAACUUAAAUGACAACAUCUAUUUCUGAUAAAUCACAGAGUGCUGGGAAAUCCAAGGUUAAGGUAUCAGCAAAUUUGGUGUCUGGUACAGCUCCUCUAUCUGGUUUACAGAGUGUCAUCUUGUUAUAUCUUCAUAUGGCAGGAGUGAGAUGAAGAGGCAGAGGAAAAGGGGAACAGAGUGCUCUCAUGAUGAUUCUUAUAAAAUUCACUAAUCCCAUACAUGAGGAAUCCCCCAAUACCAUUCCCACAUUUCUUAAUACCAUUACAUUAGGGGUUAGGAUUUCAACGUAUGAAUUUUUGAUGAACACAAUCAAUCAGUCUGUAACAGGAAAUACUGCUUAUAGUAGAGAGAAAUAAAGUCUCAGAUCAUAAAGUGGUCCAAGUCUCCAUUACUAUAAAUGGAACGUUAAAAAAAAAGAUGAACAAAAAAUUAAACCUAAAGUACACAUUAGGAAUGAAGUAAUAAAGGUAUAAUUUUUAAUAAAAUUAAAAACAAAAUAGAAGUCAGUAGGACCAAAAGCUAAUUAUUUGAAAAAAUUAAAUAAAUAUAUAUAUAUAAAUCUGUAGUCAGUUUGAUCAAAAAGAAAAAGGUGAGAUGAUAUGAAUUGCAAAUUUCCAAAAAUAAAAACCCAGGACCUACAGACAUUAAAAUUAUAUGAAUAAAUCUAUGCCUAUAGAUUUCACAACUUAGAGCAGGGUUUCUAUGUUGUAUUUGCCAGGAGUGCUUUUAGCUGUGAAUGAUAGAAAACAUAACUGACAGGAGCUGAAACAGUGUAUUUUUUACCUUUGAAAGGCACCUAAUGGUAGGCUGUUUCAGUGACAACAAGGCUAGGCCUCUAAGAUUGAAUCUCCCCAUUCACUGAUCUUUUUUUCAUUGUCACAGGUAUCAAUCAUAUCUGUACUCAAAGCUCAAAGAUGGGGCUAUGAGCAAGACUAGUCUUGUCUGUCUUUUUUAAGGAAAGCAAAAGCAUUCCUAUAACCUGCCCACACCAAGCAGAUUUCCUGACACCUCACUGGGCAACAAGGUUAUAAACCCUUUCUGAAGUUCAGGGGGUUGGAAAAUCUAGUGAAAGUUACUUAAAAUGGAGAUCAGGCAUGGAAAAUCCCCAAGCAGAUCAAACUAGUUAGGCCUUGAAAGUAAACUUCACCUCUUUUGAAUUUGCGAACAUAAACAAAACUUGUGUAUUAAAGAAAAGCAACAUUUAAGCUCCAUCAAUCAGAAGCUGCCAACUAACUUGUAUAAUUAGGGACUUUCCAGAAGGACAGACCAAAUAAAGCUAUGUACAGCUGUCACCAGUUAAAUGCCAUCUUUGCUUUAUAUGCACAUUCCCCCUAUGAAAGUCUCUCUGUGCUUCAAUGGAGCCUGCAGCCUUUUUUCAGUUGCAUGGUUCCUAAUUCAUGAAUUGCUGUUGGCUCAGAUAAACACCUUAUAAUUUUUAUUUCAUCUUGGUUUAUUUUUCAACAUAUCUAUCAAAGGACAGCAGGUUUUUCAGUGUUUUGCCUUGUGUUAUCCUCUGAAUUUCAGCCAUUAUUUUUCUCAAAUGUUUUUUCUAUCCCCCUUCUAGGGGGAUUCCAAUUGCAUGUAUUUUAGGCUACCUGAAAUUAUCUUGCAGCUCACUUAUACUUAUUCACUUUUAAAAGUUAUCUUCUCCCUCUGCUUCUGAAAAGGGAAGUUUUUGUUGUUAUAUAUUCAGUAUAUAUUCUGUUAUUAUAUAUUUUCUUUGGCAAUCCUCAUCUUUAUUAACCCUAUCCACUAUAUAUUUCAUCUCAGACAUGGUUAGUUUUGACUGUGGAAGUUUAAGGAUCUUUUUAUCUUCCAUUUCUCUACUUAAUUUUAUCAACAUGUUAAAUUCAAUCAUAACCAUUUUAUGUUCUUGCUUGUUACUUAUAACAUCUGUGUCCAUUCUGGAUCACUGAUAAUUGAUUUAUUAUUUUUUUCUGUUUAGUUGUUAUUUCCCUACUUCUUCAACUGUCUGGUAAAUUUUUACAAUUUUAUUUUAUUUUUUAUUAAUUUUUAAAUUUAUAUAUGAUAGCAGAAUGCAUUACAAUUCUUAUUACACAUAUAGAGCAUAAUUUUUCAUAUCUCUGGUUGUAUACAAAGUAUAUUCACACCAAUUUGUGUCUUUAUACAUGUACUUUGGAUAAUAAUGUCCAUCACAUUCCACCAUCAUUUCUAACCCCAUAACUCCUCUCUUCCCCUCCCAUCCCUCUUCCCUAUCUAGAGUUCAUCUAUUUACAGUUUUAUUUUGUUUUACAUAAACUAUCUAGGAAAUUCUAGAAAAGUUCUAGGAAAGUUCUAGAUUUGCAGAAAAAUUGUGAUGAUAGUACAGUUAACAAACCUCACCACACAUUUAUCCUAUUAUUGGCAUCUUACAUUGGUUUAGUACAUUACUAUAAAUGAACCAGUAUUGAUACAUUAUUACUAGCCAAAUUCCAUAAUUUUUUCAGAUUUACUUAGUUUUUAUCCAAUGUAUUUGUUCCAGGAUUCCAUCCAGAACUCUACAUUACAUUCAGCAGACAAACCUUAUGACACAGUUAGACUUCUGUUUCUGAUGCCCUACAGUUUUGAGAACUACCGGUAAGAUAUUUUGUAGACUGUACCUUGACUGAUAUUUUUGUCAUGAUUAAGCUGAGGUUAUGUGUUUUGAGAGGAAAAGUUUCCUUAUCGUAUCAUAUCAAGGAUAGAUAUUAACAUGAUUUGUCACUCCUGAUGUUAACUUUGAUCACCUGGCUGAGAAGUGUCUAUCAGAUUUCUUCACUCUAAGGUUAUCUCCACCUUUCAACACUGUACUUUUUGAAAAAAAGUCACUAUGCACAGUUCAUGCAUAAGCUGUUCUCCCCCUCCUUGGAGGUGGAAUAUCUACAUGAAUAGUUUAGGGAUAAGGAAGACAGAAUUGUUUCAGAGCCCCUUCCCCCUCUCCCUGGCUCCUGCUUUCAACACUUUUCUGAAGGAAAAUAGUAUAAUUUUGCACAUCUAAAUAUAUGUCUUGAUAUUUUGUGAAUUCUGUUGGAAGGCAAUUUAACUAUCAGUUUGAAGAAAUUAAGAAGAAAGAUCCAUAGGUCAUAAUUCUAAUUUUCCUAUCAGUACCUUAUGGUGUUUUGCCUCAUUUUCUUACUUGUGAGAGUAAAUUUGGCAUGUUUCUUCUCAUUCACUAAUGAUACCUGGGGUAAGGGCAACAUGUGGUUUCAAUUUUUCAGAAUGCUGGUUUAGUCGUGUAAGUUUCACCAUUAGCUUUAAAGAUAGGAGGAAUUUUUUUGUUUGACUAUUCCCGGACUUGGCAUUUAUUACUCAAGGUUUUGCUUACUUGGAAAUGUAUUCCUGUGAUCUUGAGUUAGAUGUAUAUUCAAGGUAAAGGCUAAUGUGAAAAAAAAAGUCUGAUUUUAUUUUGUAAAAUAUAAUAUGAUGCAUUGUCCCACCUUGGUAAUAUGAAUAACCUUGAGGUCUUGAGUUCUUUGAGCUGAAAGACACUAAAAUUAGGCCACUUGGGCAUCUGUAAUUAAAUGCUAUUGAUGUUCAACAUACAUCAUAUGCUUUCAUUGACUUGGUUAGGACUGGCCCCUAGCUUGAUGGGAAAAAAUUUUCCUUGUACAGAAUGUUCUCUGCCUCCAUUCAAGGAGGGGGGCCAGUCAGAGCAAUUGGUUGUUUAUUUUUGAGCCCAUGUAAAAGGAGCUGCUGAGCAGACACCUCCUGCUGUAGGCCAAGACUGGCAAAGAGGUCAUCUUUGUUGCGAGUGGCUGAGGAAUUGCCUCCCCUGCUGAUGAUUGGGGAUAUUUUUAGCAACAAGCUAAAACUUCUCAUUCUUGAAAUUGUUUUCAUUUCCACUCAAAGAGGCAAACUGCAUGAGUCGCGAAAAAAAUAAAAUAGGAGGCAUAAGCACUAAUAGGAGCCGUGUGUCCAUGUAAAAAGAAACCUGAUGAAAUUGCUUCCCCUGGUGCUGACAGCUUAGUCCUGGCACUGGAGUAGUUCUAAUAGCUGUAGGCUAAAAGAAUCAUUUCCAUAGUGCAGCUUAUAAUGAUAAUGUAAAUUUCACUUAAGUAUACAUGAUUAUAGAAAAUUGUGCAGAAUUGCAACUGACUUUGUGCUGUACUGUUUAUGGAGCAAUAUAGACUUACCAUUUUUUUCCUCUAAAUUCUAUGGAAGACAACUGUUUUGACUCCAGGAAUCAAUAAAGGUUCUGCAGCAUUGUGUUAACAUGUAUUAUAUUUGAACUCAGGCUUGUCACAUACCAUGAGUGCUGACAAUGUGGGAGAAGGGGGGAUUCUACAUUUGCCAACCUGCAGAGCCCAACCUUGAAUGAAGUAUUUUAUGGAGAGACAGAAAGUGCUACAUAUGUUUGUGACAGAUGGAAACUCUUCAGAGACACUCAGUUGAAGAGUUGUGUGAAGAUAAACUUUAUAAUGUCUUGUUUUUCACUUCCUUGCCCUGUAAUAUAUCACUGUGGUUGUGUACAUAUUGAACAUCUCUCCCAUUUUGUAUGUUUCAAAAGGGCAAGUAGUAUGUUUCCUCAUUUGGCUCAAGCUGAGUACCUUGUCCCUGGCAGGUCUUCAAUCACUAUUUGUGGAAUUAAAUUGAACAGGAGUGCCGCAGUCUGGCUGCAGCAAAAUAACCAGGGGGUGGGGUGUGUGGGGGGGUGACGAGCAUCUUGUGUAGAUUGAUACAGCUGGAGUGGGAGCCGUUUAUUGUAUGGCAGGAGCGGUAUAUAUACAUUCCACACAGCUUAUCUUAAUUAACAUAAACUAGAUACAGCAGUCAACCAAUAAGGAAUCUCCACACUUAAUGGCUCGCUGGUGUUACUUCACAAACCACUCCCUCUGGCAAAAUGCCAGGCGCCAUCCUGACUUGUUACAGACUCUAACAUAGGAGUGGGAUAAUUAUGAGAUAUGUUGAGGUGUAGGUUUUUGGACUUGUGUAUUUGAAGAAUGAGAUGUAUGAACAAUGGAGGGCUAGAGCAAAGUAACUGAAUUUAUGUUUUGAAACAAAGUGGAGCUCCCAAGAGAGAGUCACUGCUGAGUUGCUAAUGUCUAGGUGUCAUGUGAUGUUUCUGAUCUUUAAAGCUAUUGGCUAAUGCUUUUAGGGAACCUAGUUUUUGCAUCCAUUCAGAGUGAGACAUUUGGUGAUCCCUGUUUAAUUGUUGAUCAAGAGCUGUCUGGCUCACCAGAUUCUUUGUACUAUGAAGUUGGGCAUGCAUAAGAAACAUGGAAUUGCUGCAACUGAAGUCUCUGCCCUGUUCAGCAUAUUAUAUUUCUGGCUUUUGCUCUCAAUAUCUAAAACAAGGCAAAACCUGUGGCAUGAAAUAAUAUUAAAGUCAUUAAUAACAUCUUAUUGGAAUCUUACAAUGGCAGAGUGAUCUGUCAAUUGUGGCAAAAAAGAGGUGUCAGGCAAUAUAAUGUGUGUUUGGAGUAUUUUGACAGAAGUGACAGGGAACUCACCUGAAGAGAGUCACUUCAUCAAAAGUGAUUAUUACCAGUUCACUCAUUUAUUCCUCACAACAAAUCUCAUAGGUAGAUAUUUUCUUUUCAUUUUACACAUGAAGAAACUGACAUUUAGAAGUGCUAAAUACCACAUUUCCCAAGUUAAUGCAGCUAGAAUGUCACCCUACUCUAAGUCCCAGUCCUUAGAUUUUUCUCCCACGUGUCCUGUCUUCUAAAUAAGAAGAAUAUCAUAUUCAUGAAACUCCAAUUUACUUCAAAAUGCCAUUGCCAAGUCACCUUCAGAAAGACUGAUAAGAGACAGAACUAAUGAUAUUUCUGCCAAUAAUUCAAGAAGAAUCCUGUUGACUUCUCUCCAUAUAUUGAUGAUUUGUGAUUGAUUCAUAGGAAUUUCUUGAGAGUCAGAGUGGCAUGUAGCUCAAAUCCAGUUGAGUAUUGCGCUUUUCUGUGUGUUCUCUGGGAUACAAGUGCUGCUUCUUGGUUGUAGUGAAUAAUGGCAUUCCUCAGUGGUGACAGUGGAGGCAGGGGUUGUGUAGCCGGUUUUAUCCGGAGGGCUGAAGUUUCUUGGUGGAUUUGGUAGGAUGAAAUAGGGAGAAAUAGAUGAUAUAGAUGUAGCAUUAAGCAGAUUAUGCACAAGAUUCCACUGUAAUAGAAAUAGUUGCCUCUCCUUGUCAUGAGCUGUAUUUGGGGGAAAAUGUAACGCAAAUGGACUAACUUACCUCACAUACAUUUUAUUGCUGACCAAAAUAUUUAGUAGUUUGCAUGUGCAUUUUCCAAGUACAAAAACAAAAGACCCUGUGGAAUUAGUCCAUAAUUACUUGGUAAUUACUCUGUCAUAAGAGAAUAUUCGUAAAUGUUUCUAGACUUUCCAGCUAUCUGGAAAUUAGACCUGGAGUUCUUUGAAAAUGCAUUCCAACAGUAUUUGUUAUUGGUGCCAUACAAAGGAGAGUGUGAUUGAAGUGCCUUAUGACUUUUGCAGCAUUUUGGCUUUUGGGCAUCAUUUCUCAGAUAUGAGUGUUGCUAACAAAUAAUUCUGUGUAGUUUUAACUAAGGUCACUAAUACUAUGUAUUGAUUUUUCAAAUAAGUAGUAAUUUGGGAUGUGAAUAUAAGAUCUAUAUAUUUCCUGUUCAUAAUCAUGGUAGAUACUUCACUAUCUCCAACAUGGGUGAAGAACCAGUGUAGGUGACCAAAUACAGGAAGAGAAGAGGGGAGUCAUGCUGGCUUGUCAAUGACAUGGAAGGAACCCUGUGUUCCUUUAUUAAUUACUCCCUCUGAGGUUUUCCCUGACUUCAAACUGAAGGUUUCAAAUGUGGAGCGAUCAUUUUGGAAGAAUUUAAUGUAAUAGUCAAAUGAAUUUAUAUUCAAAUCCUGAUCAGGAAAAAGUUCAAGUGUAAAGGUCAUCUCCAUAAAUACUCUCUACUACCCAUUGUACAGUCUUGCAAUCUUGUGGUUUCUGCCUCUAUAACUUUUAACAUAUUGCUCAGUUGAGAGUAGUUGCUCAAUAAAUAGUUUUGGAAUGAACAAAGAAAGGGAGGAAAUGAGAAAGUCCAAAAAUAAACAGCAUUAUUUAUGGUAUGUGACUUACAGUCUGAAACUCAAUAGCUCAAGUCUUUCUAAUUUACAAAUCAUGGUUGAAAACCAAAACUUAUUUGCAAAAUUCAUGAAAUGUCAAAAAAGGGGAAGUGAUCUCUAAACCCUUUCUUUUGGGGGGGUACUGGGGAUUGAACUCAGGGGCACUCCAUUACUAAGCCACAUCCCCAUCCUAUUUUGUAUUUCAUUUAGACACAGGGUCUCACUGAGUUGCUUAGUACCUCACUUUUGCUGAGGCUGGCUUUGAACUUGGAAUACUCCAGCAUCAGCCUGUUGAGCCACUGGGUUUUCAGGCAGGUGCCACCUUGCCUGGCUAUAAACCCUUUUCAUAAGAGUAGAGAGGUAAGGAAGGGUUCAUGAACUUUCCUGGAACACCAUAUUACUUUUCCUUAAAUGUGGGUGUCUUAUGUCAUGUGUAUUUGGUAUUUUAAAACAGUAAUAAGAUUUUGAAUUCAAAAUGAGAUAAUGUACAGCAUUUGAUGCAUUGCAAUUACAUUCUUAUAGAACCUUUCAACUUUUGAAGUUGUUUACUGUUUUUGACCAAUAAUCUAUAAGCUAAUAAUUCCCAGUUGCAGGUUCCAUGAGAAGUUGAAACUGUCUCCUCAUUUCUCUACAGCAAAAGUUCUCUAUCUCUUUUUAUUUCAGGACCUGUUUUACACUCUUAAAAUUUUUGAGGACCCCCAAAUAUCUUUUAUUUAUCUGGGCUAUAUUGAUGACUAUUUAACAUAUUGAAAACUAAAAUUGAGAAAGUUAAAACAUUCAUUUAUUAAUAUAUUUAAAUAGAAAUAAGUCAAUUACAUAUUAAUAUAAUACGUCUUAGAAUAAAAAACUUUUUUUUUUUAAACCAAAAAACAGCAGUUCGAAGUUUGGCAUUUUUACUGGGUGACAAAUUUUUUAAAAUCCUGGCUUGAUAGAGGACACCUAGAUUCUCAUAUUGGCAUUUAUGUUUAAUCUCUUGUGCUUUUUUGAGUUGAAUUAUAUGAAAUUUGUAAAGUGAGGAGCAUUUUUAAGCUUUUCAGCUUGUGUUGAUUAUGGGUAUAGUUUUAUACUAUGCUCAUCAAAUGAUAGUUUCUUGAAUUUUAGUCACAAUGUAGAAUCUGGAACCAAAUCAAUGAACUUUCAUACUCUGUGAUAACAAAAUCAGCUGGUAAAUCUUCUUCUUGGACUUUUUUUUAACACAUUCAUGAUUUUGUAUCAUCAUUACUGGACUUUUGGAAAAGACUGAGUUAUAUAGAUCUUCCAAAUAUUGAUACAUUUUAUUACAUAGUUUAAAAACUCAUAUUUUUUAAUAACUUCACCUACUCUAUUAGAAAAAUAGUCAAGUAUGGGGAAGAUGUUAAGCUAUCAUUGCUAGAAAAAGUUCAUUGGCAAGAACAUUUCUUUUUUGUGACUGGUUCUCUUGGUCUUCAAGGAACUUGCCACUUAAGACGUUUUUCUGGGUGCUGAGGUUUGUAGCUCAGUGGUAAAGUACCUGCCUAACAUGCACGAAGUUCUUUCUGUUGAGCUAUGUUCUAAUUUAGAGUCACAUUAUUUUUAAAGCAUUUUAAUUAUCUUAAACAGUAUUUUUUGACUAAAUGAAAUGAUAUUCAGUGAAACAAAAUGAGAACACAAAUAUUUAGUUAAUGCAGUUUUUGAGAUACUUACAAUUUUGGUGAUGUGGCAAAUAGCUCCAACAAAUAAGUCUUAAAAGGGCCCCAUACCACAUGCCUGCGCCUUCAGGGGAGAAAUCCUUAGUGAUGUCUGGAGUGACUGACCUUUCUAGAAAAGGUUCUUCCCAGAGGAAAGAAGGCUGCCUCUGCCAACCAAAUACUGUACCAGAAUGGCUUAAAUUAUCUCUCCUGGCUCUCCGCAUUGUAUCCCCUGCCUUGCCUCACUCCCACCUCUGUUUUAGCUGUAAUUCAUUCUUUGUCUUAGCAAUGAAAAGAUUAGUGUAUUCCUUCCUUUCUCAGUAACCUAAUUUUAUGCAUAUACAUGCAUCAGACAAAAUAAGUGGAAUUGAGCUUCUAGAACUGUAUUAAAUUCCAUUACAACCUUUCAACACAAUACUCUUAGAAAACAUUUCUUUUUCUGUGUUCUUGUAGUACCACUGAAUAGCUGUGGGGCUGUGGGACAGUUAUUAACAACAACAACAACAAAAAAAGGUCAUCAUUUGAUUCUUCCUAUUCUAAUUUUUUAAUAAAAAUGUAAAACAUAUUGAUUUUAUCUGUCAAAAGAUAAACUAUUUUUCUGUCAGAAAAAUCUUUAUUUCAAGUUGUGAUUAUUUAUUUGAGAUGCUUACCAAAACAUUAAUAUUAAAACAUUUGGUUUUAUAUAAUUCUCAGGUUUGUUUCUUUAUUAACUUUCAUUUUGACACCUUCCAUGUAAAUGCAAGAAUAUUUAGAAACUACUGUGGAUCAAUUCUGAUAAACUUCCUGCAUACAUACACAAACACACACCACACAACUACACAAAGAUAUAUGUACACAUACACACAUACACACACACACAUACACAUGCAUUUGAAUGAAAAUUAUUUGGGCAAUUACAAUGUGAAGCAUCAGAUAUUAAUACUUUGUAUUUGUCUGAUUUUUAAGGAGGAAGUUGUCAGUUUUAUAAACUCAUCAAUAUAACUGAGUUAUGUUACAGCCAGGUUCCCCAAAGAAGUCAAUUGUUUAAGAGGCUCAAGUGUCCUUCACCUCUAAUGUUUCGUAUCUGGUUAGUUUUGAGUUAUACAUGGGUAGAAGCAUUCCCUUUGUUGUUUCAUAUCUACUUUCCAUUCUGAACAGGAGGCUUUUAAGAUUCUGUUACUCUACCAGCACUUAGUGUCCUAAAUAAAAAAAUAUACAUAUAUUUUCACAAUAGAGGCAGCCAGUGGACUGCAAUAAGAUGAGACAAUCUUUGUUCUUUAUUUAUGCAUUGAUAUUCUCCACACAACUUCCUUUCUCAAGGGACUGGUAAGGAUCAUUCAUAGAAAAACAAGGCUUUGAUUGUUGAGUUUGGCUUAUUCUGCUAUUUAGAAGGUGCGACAUUUUUAUUCCUAAAAUGAAAGAGACAGAUUUUGUAAGCCAGAACACACAAGGGAAAUCCACUUUCCUUGAAAAGUCUGGCAUCUUUUUAACCUGGCACUUAAGGCAGUUCUACAAGAGGUCUACUUUCCAUUUCCACACAGAGGCAGAGAAGUUGUAAAGCUAAUUCAGAGUCACAUUGUACAGAAUGGAGCUGAGGCCUUAAUGAAGAGAAGAAUCUAUAUCCAACUCAUCUACUGCUCAGUUGUCUUUAGGAAAUUUCUCUGCUUAUGUAAUCCUUCCCUCUUGUGUUUUAUGUGUUACUAAGAUACCAUAUAUUUCUGAAACAACUCCAAAACAUACUAGAGGCCUUUAUCUUGGUAUAAUAACCAGAGACAAUUGGCUGAUAAUCCUGCUUACUAACAUCAACAUUCCCCCAACUCUAGAAAAUUAUACCCCUUACUAUUAUUCAGCAUGAAACUGCCAUGGGUUUUCCCAAACUUAAUUUAGUAUAUUAUUAUAAUAUACUAAAAACAUGAUCAUAGAUGCUAAUAAUCUACCUUACAUUUUUAGUACCUCAAAGAUUAUUGAAAUAUUCUCAUAUAUUAAAUCAUAAGAAAUAUCUCAGAACAUAACUAAAAUUUUAUCAGCAGCUACACUGAAAAUGUUGGCAAUAGUUGGUAAAAAUAAACUCCAUAGCUAGCCAAUCAAAUAUUUUGAGAUACAAAAAAAGUUGUAUUUCAAACAACUUAUUACAUAUGUUACAAAAUAAUGUGCAAAGGGAUCCCCCACUUGAAGACAUAAAACUAAAAUAUUAAUACCAAAACAUAAAUAAAUAUCCAGCACUUCAAUAUUUUGGGACUAAAACCAAGGUUGAAAUAUCCGAAAUGUAAAGAACAAAAUAAAUUUAGUGGGCUUUUGUACUGAGAAGCUAAUUUUUGUUGGAUAACUGAGACAAUCAUUCUUAUUUGCAUCUUUUACUAAGUAUUAAAACUCAAAUUUUACAUGGUUUAUUAUAUUUAAAAUUUCAUAAUGUGUAGAUGUUUUGGUGUGAUAGUGUCUAAGUGACAAUCAUGCAACUGGUUGAAAAAAUGAGCAUUCAGAACCAAGCAACAGGUUCGAUGGACAUUCUUUAACUGAAUGGACUCACUUUGCUUGAUGUUUUGCUAGCUUCUUUUUUGUGUAGACACAGGCUAAGAGAAAAAUAGCUCCAUUUAUUUCCUUUGGCGUUUGUUAGGCAAAUAGGUUCCUGUAGUCAGGUUAUUCUCCAGUUAUAGAACAGCUAAUAAAUCUAGCCUGAAGACUCUUCUCAGGCUACCAAUUAUUCCUGAGUAUUGGAAUCUUGUUUGUGUUCACUCACAGUUUAUAUAAAACUUGGCUUUUCUACCAUCCAUAAAUUCCUACUCUUUUUCUGAUCUUGGCUGAACAUGGAUAGAAUUUGGUGCUCACCUUUUGUCUCAAAACUUAGAAUAGAAUGUUAAAAAUUUGAAAACUCAUUAUCCUGAUGGUUUUUUCAGUUGCUUUUUAAAUCUCAUUUGCCCUCCUUCAUGGUAUAGGUAAAAUUCUCCUCAUCUUCCUGAUCUACUCAUUAACUAAUCAGAUCAAUGAAGCAGCAAACUUUUGGCUCUUAACAAUAGUGUUAGCAGAGUAAUCUGUCUUUUAUCUUGAUGUUCCCAAAGAACAAAUUGGCAAAUUCAGACUGGACCAAAUUCAUGUUGUUAGAGUCAUAUUGUGUGUGUGUGUGUGUGUGUGUGUGUCUAAUAUAUAUACAUAUAUAUAUAUAUAUAUAUAUAUAUAUAUAUAUAUAUACAUUAUUAUUAUAUAUUAGACACUCUCAUCUACACUGGAAUUUCUUGGUUUUGUGGUGUCUCAAGCAGAGUAUUUUGUGGAAAGAAGGGAAAUUGUGAAAGAGUUAGGAGAGGAAAUUGCUGUUCUUAUGCAGAGGUCUCAGGUCUCUGUAUUCUUUUCACAUAUCACAAUUAUCUAUUUUGACCUGACUUCAAACAGUGAUUUUCCCAUUUCAUGGUAAUAUUUAGACAGAAUAAUAAUGAAAGGCACCAGUGUUUCGUUGAAUUAUGUCCUCCUACCCCUACAUUAUAUAUAUUGCAUAAUACAUAUAUUGCGUAUAUAUUAUGCAAUAUAUAGAUAAUGCUAUAUAUAUAUAUAUAUAUAUAUAUAUAUAUAUAUAUAUAUAUAUAUAUAUAUAUUAGAUGUUAGGAUAUGUAGCUAACCAAUCAAACAUCUUUGUAUUUUGUCCUGAAAAUUACAGUAUUUUAAUUCAUAGGUCUCUUUCACUUUUACUACUGUCAUGUCCUGCAAACUGUAAUCACAGCAAUAAUGCUAUAGAAUAUCCUCUUGACAUAAUGAUUCUACAAACCAGUAAUUCCCUUUCUCCUUACAUUAGAGAAGAAUUCCAUAUGUAAGCUGACCAGUUAUUUCAAUGGAAAGGCCAAGUGGUUUGGAUAAAACAAGAUCUUAGUUGAACCUUUGCCUUAAACUGAAAUUGAACCUAAAUCAUGUUUGAAGUUCAAAAAGUUAACUUUUUCCCCUUUCUUUUAAAUUUUUGUGCAUCUCUGCACUUCCUGGUUUUGGUUGGGAGUAGAAACCAAAAUACCGCAAGAAAAGCUAUUCUUGUUGCAUUUCCAGCUCUUCAAAGCCAAAAAGCACUAGAAAUCUCAUGAAAAAAACAGUUCCCACCUAAUUUCUAGCCCCAAAAGGUUCAGAUAAGUUUGAAUAAACUUUGGAUAAUGUUGCAUCUAUUACUUGGAGAAUAUCUAAGAUAGGUAGUGGUUUAAAAAAAGGAUUAAGACAAUAGAGGGAAGGAAGUAAAUGAUAAAAAAUUGGACAUUUCUGCAAAUUAAACUAAGAACACUAUCAUAAUCAAACCAGGUGUUUGCUUCAUGCAAAAAAGCUAACAUAAAAAUUUUGGAUGAAAGCUUUGAACUUAGCUUUUAACUUCUGAAGUGUUGCCAUUUAUGAAAUAUUCUUCAUAUUUUGAUUAUUAAUUUUAUAUGAUCACCAAAAGCCAUUUUAUGUGUCAUUUACUAUUCUUCUUCUUCUUCUUUUUUUUUCUGGUACUAGGGAUUGAACUCCAGGGCAGGCAUACAUCACCAUGCCACGAAGCCAAAUUCCAUUUUAAAAUAACUUCACUUGUUCUCAAGUUAGGGAACUGUGGUAAUAAAUCCUUAUGGGUAUAACGGUGUUGUUUCUUAAGCUUAAUUAUGUAACUGUCCAUUGGUGUGAUGGUAUGUGACACCCAUGCAGCUGAUCUAAAAAUGAGCAUUCAGUACCAAGCAGUAGGUUUGUUUAAUGCUGCACAAAAAGCAAGUUGUUUAUUCAACAAGUGCUUAUUAUUUGCUGAGUGAAGUGCAGCAUAAAAAGCUAGGGAGCCAGCAAUAGUACUCUCCCUCAAGCCUUAUACUCUGGAGGAGGGGACAGUCCAGUCAAUGAGUGGAAUCUAACAGGUUUUGCUAAGAGCCAUAACAGGGUCAGGCCAGGAGGAUUAAGGAACAAGUAAAGAGGUCCCUAAGCCAGCUUGGAUACUCAAAUAAGAUCUCCUGAAAGUGCAAUGGUCUCAGAGAGGAAUAAGAGUGAACAAGAUGUAAAGCCCCUUUUCUGGGUCAAAACCUUUUCUUGUUGUCUUCAUUUUUCAAAGGUAACUUGAAAGGAUCAAGACUUUACAACAGAAUAGUUCAAAUGGGAAUGAAGAGACUAUGUAGGCAAAAGGAUUAUUCAAAACUGCAGACAGGAGAUUGCGAAGGCAAGGGUCAAGAAGCACAGGGUUAGGAUCACUUGAUGAAUAGCAGCCAAAUGUGCAGUAGGGCAAACAAAGGAGAAAAGUGGGGUCUGGGUGAAAGAAGACUGACCCACAGAAACCAGGUUUUAGGAACAUAGGUCCAGCCUCCCUUUGAACACUGGAGAGUCAAGAUUUUAUUUUUUAUUGAUAUUAUCAUUUAAUGCAGUAUGAUAUUUUAAAAAAACACAGUCUUUGAAGUUAGCCAAAUGGAAUUUUAAUUUCUGGUUCCACAUCUUAUAAAUUCUAUGUCUUUGGAUUAUUUAACUUUACUUAGGCUCUAAACAAUAGAAUUAUAUCCCUACAGUAGGGUUUAUGUGAGAAUCAAAUGAGUUCCGUUAUGCAAGUAUGCCUACCAUAUUCCUGGUACAUAGAGAUGCUCAGUAAAAGGUACUUUCCUUCCUCUAGCUUUGAAUACUGACCAUUUUACCUCCUAGACAAAAUUUCCCUCAGAGCAGCAGAAUGCCCACACUACCUACGCUCCAGCUGUCUUAAGAAUAGCAUUUUCUCUCCUUCCAUACCACAGCUCUUGGGGUUUUGUAGUUGUUGUUAUUUCCCCAAAUAUGGAUGGUAGUCAUCUUAUUUUAGAAAUAAAAAAAAACUGGAUCAGACAGGUGAAAGAAUUUGUCUAAGGGUGCAACUGAUAAAUGAUGCCUUUUGAUUUGAAUCUGAGCCUCUGUAAAUCCAAAUUUUGUGUUCCUUCCAGUCAUGCACACUCUAUGCUGAAUAACAUAUAAGAGGAACACCUUCUGGGAAAUUGAUUUUGUAGUUUGGAGUCUGUACAGCAAAGCAGUUUCCAGAAACAUUCACAUUGAGAGGUUCCAGUUUGGGAGAGGUUUGUAUACAUUUCCUUAUUCUACCAAUGACUUGAAAACAGGAUAAAGAAAAUCUUCAUAAUCUUCACUAACAACUGGGAGGGGUUGAAAGCGAAGCUGUCCUCUACUCUUUUAUCCGGUCAAGUGAGUACUUCUUUCUCUGAAGAUAAAUAAAUGCAUAUCUGUUUAAAGAUAUUCUAUAUAAACUGGUUCAAGUAUUAAAAAUAUGCAAGGCAAAUAAUUCAACAGUCAGUAUUCUUGCCAAAAAAAAGAAGGAAAAAAAAGCCUUUACCCUGAAAACAGACAGCUCAUAUGUUGACCACCAGGGCAGAUGUGAAAUUUAAAUCUGUCUGAAUUCAUUGCAUGAAUUUGCAGCUUUUACCCUGGAUUUCUCAGCUCGUUUAUAGAGAAGGAGGCUAUUUAUCAUCAAUAGCACCAGGAUUUUGCCAUUUUCCUUUCACAGUGAUGGGUGCUUUGUCUAAGGAACAACAUUUUAAUUCUCUAUGAUUGUGUGACUAAGAGAUUGUCACAAUAGACAGACAUAUUCAUAAACUUAUGGUAUGACAUAUAACUUUGGUUUUCUCUAUAUAUUAGGAUUGCCUAGAAAUUUUAAAUGCCCUUUCUCCUAUGAAAGAAGUCAUUCACUCUUCCUAAGGAAAACCUUUAAGUAAAGACAUACUUGUAGUUGUCUGUUUGCCAGAAACUGUAGUUUCAGGUUUCUCCAGGGGAGGAUGACCACAAAUGCCACUCACUGGCCUAAAUUAAAGUACUCAUCUAUAGCUGGUGUUUGAGGUUGAGCCAUAUACAAAUAGAAUUAGGGCCAGCCUUUACCAAGAUGACUCAAGAGAAGUGCCCUAAGUUCUGCUUUGGGCAGGGACUCUCAUCUACACUGGACUUUCUUGGUUUUGUGGUGUUUCAAGCAAAGUAUUUUGUGGAAAAAAGGGAAAUUGUGAAAGAGUUAGGAGAGGAAAUUGCUGUUCUUAUGCAGACGUCUCAGAUCUCUGUAUUCUUUUCUCAUAUCACAGUUAUCUAUUUUGACCUGACUUCAAACAGCGAUUUUCCCAUUUUAUGGUAAUAUUUAGACAGAAUAAUAACGAAAGGCACCAGUUGUUCAUUGAAUUAUGUCCUCCUACCCCCAAAUAUGUUGAAUUCUUAAACUCUAGUCCCUUAAAGUGUGAUAUUUUUGGAGAUGGGGUAUUUAUAGAAAUAAUCAAAUUGAAAGAGGUCAUUAGGGUGGUCCCUAAUUCCAUAGGUCUUGUACCUUGGGAAAUUGGGACCCAGAGAUAUGCAUAGGGAGAAGGCCAUGUGAAGACAUGGAGAAGGUGCUUGCUGUCUUUUGAUUCAAUUAUGUUUACUGUUGAUAUUGACAUAGUUACAUUUACAUCUGCUAUUUACUGUUUAUAUUCUACAUGUCACAUGUCCUUUUGGUUCCACUGUCACAUAUUUCUUUUUUUUUUGGAAUUAAAAAUUUCUAAAGUAAUAUUUACUACAUUAUAUUGUUUUAAUGAAUUUUUUGUUGUUGCUCUAAGACUUGCAAUACAUAGAUAUAAAUAUCUACUCAGUAUCUUCUUAAAAUUUAUGCCAACUUAAUUUCAAUUUGAUGUACAAAUGUUACUAUCUUAGUACUCUGUUCCCUUACCAUUCUUGUGCUAGUAAUUCUAUCCUAACUAUGUUUCUAUGCUAAAUACUUAACACCACAUUAUUAUAAUUAUUACUUUAUGAAAUUAUUUUAUAUCUUUAAAAGAGGUGAGAAGAAAGGAGUGCAAAUGCAUGUUUGUAAUUUGUUGUAUUAGCCUUAUUUUUCACUACUACUAGUUACCUUCAAUGGAUCUGAUGGAUUCAUGUCUCUGAUGUCAUUGCUUUACUCCAACUCCUUUGCUUUCAGUCCACUCCUUUAUACUCUUAUUGUCAAGCAUGUUACAUUUCUAUAUAUUAUAGUCACAACAGUUUAAUUAUAUACAUAUUGUUUCAAACAGUUACUUUUAAAUUAGAGGAAAGAAGAAAUAUGCAACUUUACUCUUAUAAAAUUUUCCUCAUAAUUUAUUUACCAGCAUGAUUUAUUUCUUCAUGUAGAUUUUAAUUAUUGUCUGCUGUCAGGUACUUAUAGUUUGAAAAGCUUUCUUUAGGAUUUCUUCUACAUCAGCUUUUGCUGGUAGCCAAUUAUCUCAGUUUUCAUGUUUCUUGGAAUGUCUCUAGUUCACCUUCAUCUUUGAAAGAUAAGUUCAUUCGAUAUUAAAUUUUUAGUUGACAGUUUUGUUUCAGCACUUUAAACAUAUUAUGUCACUGCCUUCUUGUAUCCAUUGUUUCUAAUGAGACCUCAACUGUUAACAGUAAUAUGAUUUACUGCUAUGUGAUCAGUUUUUUCUUUCUUGCUGCUUUCAAGGUUUUUUCUUUGUCUUUCAAUAUUUUGAUUAUAAUGUAUAUAGACAUGGCUCUUUUUUAAUUUAUUCUAUUUAGAGAUUGUUGAACUUUUUGAACAUUUAGAUUUUUAAUCAAAUAUGGAAAAUUUUUAGUCAUCAUGUCCUUUCUGUUUCAAAUAUUUUAUUAAAGAAGAAUCAUUCUAUAAUGCUGUUUAAUUCAAUUUUAAAACUUGACAUGACUCAUUUAAGUUAUUCAUUUUAGCAUAUAUAAAGUUAAUAGUAUAUUUUUUAUUCACAUAAUACUUAUUGAAAUGUUUUUAAGUUGGUGCAUUAUAAUUGUACAUAAUGCAGUUCAUUAUGCCACAUUCACAUAGGCACAUAAUUUAAUCAGUUUCAUCCCCUAGUAUGUGCCUUUUCCUUCCAUCUCCCUCCCCUAACCCCUUGCUCUAUUCUAUUCUACUGGUCUCCCUUCUAUUAUUAUUAUUAUUGUUUUUAAGUUAGUUUAUUAUAUGUAAUUAUACAUAAAAGUGUAAUUCAUUUUGGUAUAUUUGUACAUGGACAAAUAGCAUAAUUUGGUAGCUCUCAUUCUUCAGUACUUCCCCAUACCCUUCACUAGACCCUCACUCUCAACCUCUGUCCUUUUACUUUGUUAGUUUCUCUUCUGUUUUUGAAGUUCCUUUUUAUUUCCCUUUUCUCUCUAGUUUCUACAUAUGUGAGAACACAUGCAACCCUUGACUUUCUAAGUCAGUUUUAUAUUACUUAGUAUGAUAUACUCCAGUUCCAUCCAUUUACAACCAGUGACAUAUUUUCAUUCUUCUUUACAACUGUGUAAAACUCCAUUUUGUGUAUAUACCACAUUUUCUUUAUUCAUUCAUUUGUUGACAAACAACUAGGCUAACUCCAUAAUUUGACUAUUGUGAAUUGUGCUGCUGUAAACAUUGGUAUGCAUAUAUCACUUCAAUAUGCUUUUAUUUUUAUUUUGGAUAAAUACCAAGAGGUGAGAUAAUUGGGUCCUACAGUGAUUCUUUCCUGGUCUUUGAGGAUCUCUAUAUUGCUUUCCAAAGUUGUACUAAUUUGCAGCCCCACUGAUAAUGUGUAAGUGUACCUUUCCUCUCACAUUCUCAUGAGCAAAUAUUAUUACUUGUAUUCUUGAUCAUGAUGUACAAUCUUCUUAAUGUGUUUUUGAAUGCAGAUUGCUUUCAAAAAAAUUUUGCAUCUGUGUUCAUAAGGGACAUUGUCUGUAAUUUUAUUUUCUUGAUGUUAUUCUUAUCUUCUUUUGGUAUUGGAUGAUAUUGGCUUCAUAGAAUGAAUUUAGGAAUGUUCCCUCCUUUUUUAUAUUUCAUGAAAUAAUUUGAGGAGCACUGUUAUUAGGUCUUUUUUAAAGGACUGGUAGCAUACAGCUGAGAAUUCAUCUGAUUCUGGGCUUUCUUUGUUAGAAGGCUUUUUAUUACUGCUUUAAUGUCAUUAUUUGAUAUUGUUCUGUUUAGGUUUUCUAUAUCCUCUUGGCUCAAUUUGAGUAAGUCAUAUUUGUCUAGAAAUUUGUCAGUAUUUUCUAGAUUUUCAAAUUCAUUGGAAUAUAAAUAGAUCCCAAUGAUCCUUUGGAUUUCAGAAAUUUCAGAAUUGUCUGUGAUAUCUCUUUCCUUCGUCUUUUUUGAUUUUAGUCUUCUCUCUCUUUUAAUUAGUUUGGCUAAGGGUUUGUUAAUCUUGUUUAUCUUUUCAAAGAACCAAAUUUUUCUUUACACUGAUUUUUUGUAUUUUUAAUUCUGUUUCAUUAAUGUUGGCUCUGAUCUUAAUUAUUUCAUUAGUUCUAUUUGCUUUGGAAAUAAUACGUUCCUGCUUUUUUAGGGCCUUAAGAUGUACCUUAAACAGUUUAUUGGAUUUCUUUCUUUUCUUUUCCUUCCUUCUUUCCUUCGCUCCCUCCCUCCCUCCCUCUUUCCUCCCUUCCUUCCUUCCUUCCUUCCUUCUUUUUCCCCUUUCUUUCCUUUCUUUUGUAGACACUUAAUGCUGUACACUUUCCUCUUAAAACUGCCUUCAUAGUGUCCCAGAGAUUUAUGUACAUGGUAUCACUAUUCUCAUUUGAUUGUAGGAAUUUUUAAUUUCUCCCCUCAUUUCUUUCAUGAUCCAUUUCUCAUUUAAAAAUAUAUUUUUCAAUCUUUAUGGGUUUGUGUGCAUCUUAUAAUUUUUCUUGCUGUAGAUUUCUAAUUUUAUUCCAUUAUCAGAUAUUUGUCAAGGAUCAGAUGCCUUCAUCUAUGUGGAUUUGUCUGAGUCUUCUAUUCUUUUCCAUUGAUAUUUAUGUCUCUCUUUAUGUCAAUACUAUGCUGUUUUUGUUCUGUAUCUCUGUAGUAUAAUUUGAGAUAAUGUGUUGUGAUGCCUCUAGCAUUGCCUUUAUUACUUUGAAUAUUCUGGGUCUUUUAUUUUUCCAUAUGAAUUUUAGUACUGUUUUUUUGUAGUUCUGUGAAGAAAGUCAUUGAUAUUUUGAUGGACAUUGCUGUAUGUCUUUUUUUUUUUGGCAAUAUGGCCAUUUUGACAAAAUUAAUUAAUUUUGCCUAUUGAAGAACAUUGGUGGUCUUUCCAUCUUCUAAGUUCUUUAAUUAAUUUCUGUCUUCAGUGUUCUAUAGUUUUCAUUUUACAGGUCUUUCACCUCCUUGGUUAUAUUUAUUUCUAGGUUAUAUUGAUUUUUUUUGUAUUUGGUAAGAAUUGGUGAAAUAUGGUCUGUUUUGGAAAAUGUUCUAUGAAUAGUUGUGAAGAAAGUGAUUUAGCUAUUUUUAGGUAAAUAUGUCUCAGGUUCAUCUUAUAGUAAUUUUUAGGUACAAAGUAUCUUUGUUGAUUUUAUGUUGAAGACCUUUAUAUUGGUGAUAGAGAUUUGUUUAAAUUACACUGUAUUGUAUUGGAGUAUAUCUGAAUCUAAAUGUCCAGAGAGUUUGUUUUAUAUAACUAAGUACACCAACAUUUUGGGUAUAAAUAUCUGCCAUUCUUAAAUUUAUUGUUUAAUUGUUCCCUUUACUAGUAUGAAGUGACAUUCUUUUUCUCUUCUGAUUAUUUUUGCUUGAAAUCUGCUUUGUCUGAUGUGAGAAUAGCUACUUCUUCUUGUUUUCAGACUCAAUUUUCAUGGAAUAUCUUUUUCCAUUCUUUUACUUUCUGCCUUUGGAUGUCUUUGCCUAUAAGUAUCUCUAAAGAAACAUAUAAUUUGAUCUUGAUUUUUAAUCCACUUUACCAGUCUGUGUCUUUUAAUUGGAGAGUUGAGACCAUUUACAUACUGAGUUAUUAUGGAGAGAUGUUCUUUAUCUCCUGCUAUUUUGGUUUGUUUUUUAUAUUUAAUUUGAUCUUAAUUCUCUAGUAUCUAUAUUUACUUAACUACUUAACUACUCUUCUCCUGAGCAUCAUCCUUUUGCAAGCUCUGGGGUUUGUUUUUAAGUUCUGCAUGUAGUGUGUCAUUUAGUAUUUUAUGUAAUGGUAGUUUAAUUUUAUUCUUAUCUUAGGAAGUUUUUAUUUUUUUCUUUGGUUCUGAAGGAUAUGGCAAUUAUUUUCUUUUAGAGCUUGGAUUAUCUCAUUCUAAGCCCUCCUAUAUUUUAAAUCUGAGAAGUUAGAAUUAAUUCUUAUUGGUUUACCCCUAUGUGUGACCUGAUGUUUUUCUUGAGUCUUUUAAUAUUCUAUUUUUAGUCUCUAUGUUAGGCAUUUUGAUUAUGAUGUGUCUUGGAGAGAUUCUUUUAUUAUCUUUUAUUUGGGAUUCUUUAUGAAUUUUGUACAUGGAUAUCCAUAUCGUUCUAAGGAAAUUUUUUUCUCUUAUUUCACUGAAAAGUUUAUGAUUAUCAUUAUCCUGUAUCUCUCUUUUUCUUUAUUUUUUUGUUUAUUUGUUAUUGAGUGUUCAAGUUAUCUUACCAUGUCUGUGAAGUCUGGAGUUCUGUUUUCUAUGUAAUCUUAUUCUGUUGGUGAGACUUUCAAAUUAAUUUUUAUUUGUUUUACUAUGUCUUUCAUUUCUAGGAGUUUUGCUUGGUUCUUUUCAGAAUCUCUAUCUUGUUAUUGAAAUGAUCUUUUACCUCUUGCAUUUUCUCUCUUAAUUUGUUCCUGAGAUCUUCUUUUAGUUCAUUAAUCAAUUUAAUAAUCAAGUUUUUGUAAUCUUUCUCUGUAAUUUUAUCAUAUCUAUAGGUUCUCAUAUCUAUAGGUUCCUUUAUUGGGGGUGGGGCUUGUAAAUUCUGGAGGGUAUCUUGUUGGACUAUUUCCCCGUGUCUUCAGAGGUCCAAGAUUUCCACAUCUGUUGAGAUGGAUUCUUCCUCUUCUUUUAUGUUGGGGUCCUUUGGCAAAUAGUUAUCUCUUUAUAAUUAGUCCUGUGAUCACACUAUAUAUUAACUUCAAUACAUAGGCUCACCUAUAUUUAACUAUUAAUUUUAAACUUCCAGUGCCUCUUUGAAAGGACAGAAUGUUACAAGUAACAGAGGUAAUUUAAAAGUAAACCAUAUAUCACAACAUACUUUGAAUGUAAUUACUAAUGAUCUCUUAAGCUCUAUUAACCCAGGAGGAAGGUGGGUGAGAAGUAAUAUGGAAUAUGCUUUCAACUGCAUUUUAAGAUGGGAUGAAAAUAUAUAGAGAAAAGAAAAAAUAAAGAUGGAAAUAGGGAUGGGAGACAGAGAUUAAAAUGAGAAGAGUGAAGUAGGUGCCCACAAGGAAGCUGAAGUUAAAUUGUAUAUAGGAGUCAUAGUAUAUUAGUUAUUAUCAAUCAGUCAGUGCAUCUUAUCCAAUAGAAUUUCAGAUAACUUUUUUUUAGUGAUAGAUGGACACAAUACUUUUAUUUAUUUAUUUUAUGUGGUGCUGAGGUUUGAACCCAGGACCUCGUAUAUGCAAGGCGAGCACACUACUGCUGAGUCACAACCCCAGCCCUGAGGUUCAGAUUACUUUUAACUUAAGAUUUUGGAAUAGAGCAUUGUGUACUUUGUGUUCAAAUUUUAGAAACUGCCAUCUUGAGGGAAUAAUGUAAAUCUCAUGCCUUUUAUGGAGUUUCUGCUCUGCCCCAAUUGGCCAAAUUCAUUAGGUGAGUCUGUAUGAAGAUUUAGACUUUUUCUUUUUCUGGCCAUCUCUGCUAGAGGGGAUAGGGAUAAAUUGCUUUUCACUCUCUUAAUGACUUUGUUGUUGAGUUUGGGAGUGAGAGUAUGUCUGACAAGCUCUGUCACCUGCUUUGUCUGUAGAUGUAUCUGGCUUGAAUUGCAACUCUGGUUCUAAGAAUUUCUAUUCAAGUCCUAUGGAAAGGUAUGUGGAAGCAUCAGUCUGUCUUCUAGCCAUUUCUGGGUUUGGAGAAGAUGGGACUUUCUAUCAGACUCUGUUCAGCUCCAGUUUCCCAGGCCCUGUCAGCCACACUCUUUAUCCCACCAAUAAGACUGUCAAUUUGAAAUGAAAAUAUUCUUGUUCUUCACUCUGCUGAAUCCCAGCAGGAUUACAGUCUUUCUUCAAUACUUGGAGUAGCUCUCAGUAAGGGAAUCCACCAAUGUAGUGAAAAGUAGAGCCUAAAUGGCUGUUUGGCUUUAGAUAUUCAUAAAGGAAAUAUACCAAGUGCAGGGGGGAUAAAUGAAGAAAAAAAGAAAGAAGUGAUUUCUGUGAAACAGAGAUAAGCUGCGGGAAUUCCAAGUCUGCUCACUUGGGAAGUCUGAUGGGAAGUCCCUUCAAGUUGUUGGUUCCAUUCUCCCCAACAUUAACCUCUUCUUCCAGGGAGAGUCUAAUACCCUGUUGAAAUUACUAGUUUUCUCUACAACUGGAGAGCUCCAGGACUUUCUUCCACACCCCAGAUUUUCUAAGUUUAUUUUCUUAUCCAAUACAGGAAUUCUGAUUAUCAUCUUUCUUCAGUUCAAUGGGAGGAUAUCUUGUUGGAGGAGUGCUUUUCCUCUCUCACUAAGCCAGAGCAUGCCUGACACUGUUACCAUCUGUUGUCUUUAUUAAUUUUAUUUCUACGCUUGAAACCAAUAUUUCUGGUUUUUUUCCUGGAUACUGACUCACUGAAUUGCCUCCCAGUUCCCUCCCUGCCCUGGUUUCCCUACUUCAGCUUGCCAAUGCAAAAGUACUGAUAUUAUUCAUUCUUAGGAGCUGCUACAACACUGUGGAUUCUUCGAAGCCAACAUCUUUCCCACUUUAACCUUCAUUUCUCUGAAUAUUUUUCUUUUUCUUUUUCACUCUCCUCUCUUUCUGGUACUCUCAUUACAAAUAUACUGGUCCACUUAAUGAUGCUCCAUAUUUCUUUGAGAUUAUGUUCAUGUUUCUUCAUCUCUUUUCUUCAGAUUGCAUAAUCAUUCAGUCUGUUUCCUUCAAGUACACUGGUGACAUUUUUGUGUGGCACAAAUUUCUAGGGAAUUUCUUAUUUUAGUUCUACAUUUUUCCACUACCAAAUUCCCUUUUUAAAAGUGUUUUCUUUCUUUGUAUUGCUGUGUCCAUUAAGACAUUUUCAUAUCAUACCUUAUUUUACUUCUUUCAGAAUAUCUUCAAUUACUUCUUUGAACAUAUUUACAAAAGCUACUGCUAAUUCUGAACUGUCUAGGUAAUAUUUUGUAGUAACUCUAGAAGGCAAUUUCUGUACCCCGGCCCCCACAGUGCCUUGACUUGUUUUUAACUCAAUUUAUUUUUUGUUCAGUAUCUUGGAUGGAUUAUUUCAGUGUAGUCUAUUUUCAUAAUAAUUUGUACCCCCAGAUAAUGCUCAUCAGAGAGCAUAGUCUUGGACACAUGCAUGUUUAAUCAUUCUCCCCUGAGUUGAUGGUGGUUUUCACAAGGCUAUCUUUUACUCUUUCUUUCUCUAAGGUUUCUAGAUAUUCUACAUCUGUUGACAUCACACCCAGCUAUAAUACUCCCCUAAUUUCUAGGUAAUUGCUCUAUUGUUUUUGACAAACCCUUGGGCACAAAUUGUUCUCCAAGCAAAUUCUGGCCCCUUUGCAGGUGUGGUCCUGGAAGGCAGUCUUUGAAGUUUGCUCUUAUCACAAGAGCUUUCUUUCUUUCUUUUUUAAUAUUUUUUUUAGCUAUAGAUGGACACAACAUUGUUAUUUUAUUUGUUUAUUUUGUAUGUGGUGCCGGGGAUCGAACCCAAUGCCUCAUGCAUGCUAGGCAAGCGCUCUACCACUGAGUCACAACAUUGGCCCCACAACAGCUUUCUUCUUAGCUGCCUUUCAAUCCUGUUUUUCUUGAUUAAACAAAGUGAUCAACUGUUUUACUUGUUGUUGCCAUGGAGAUACGAGUCUUUUCUCAAUCGUUUAACACCAAAAUCUCCAUCUUUUAAAUAGCACUUUCUUUCUAUAUUCUUUUCCAGGUAACAUCAAUUCCUUUAAUCACAGCUACAGAGUAUUCUGUUCUGAUGAUCUGCCUCUCCCUUGGAGAUGAAUAUUUGUCCCACUCUUCUGAGUUGUUUGUGGGAACAGUGGCUCAAUUCUUUCAUUGGUGUGCCUUUACCGUCUCUAUAAGCUGAGGGAUAUGCCAGUUGAUAGUCUCUGGUCUUUUUGGUUCACCUGUCUUACUAUGCAAUCUCUUCUCUACAAUUGAGGUGGGGCAAGAACAAUUAGGGUCCAUUAUUGCACGGGGGGAUAGAGGUUCCACCAUACAAAUGGCGUUUGGGUGGCAGAAGAAAGCCAUAGAUUUCUUAUCUGCACUUGUCUGAAAUGGAGCUUCUGCAUAGUUAUCAGAGCCUCUGAUAAGUUAUCAGAGGUAGAACAGAUUAGAAAUACUGGCAGCAUGCUUCUCUUUAGGAUAACUGUAGCUCUAGACUAGAAUCUAGAAGAGGUACCCUAUAUUCUUGAUUUUACCUGGGUAGAGUACAGAUCCUGUCAAACUGAGCUGAAGGUAGGAAUGAUAAACAGUCCUAACCACAUAAAUGUAAUAACCUGAGAACUUUUAAAAAGAUAUUUAUUACUAUGUUUUAUUCUGAUCAUCCUAUUUACUUGUAGCUUAUUAAACUUCUUGUUUUCUAGAACAGUUAUGAAUUUAUGAAUUUUAUAAAGUAUCUCUGUGCUUUCUUUUUUAAUGAAUUUAAUAUUUUUAUAGACAUAUAAUAUUUAUAUAUAUUAAUGGGGUACCAUGCACUAGGUUGAUAUACUUCUGUGCUCUUUCUAGAGAUUAAAGAUGGGGGAGUAGAUAGGCAUAGGCUUGAUCUAUUGCUCUUUACAUUUAUAUAGCACGCUCAUGUGCACUAUAUGAGUUACUUCCACAUACAUAAUUUUAUCUGAUUCUCAUAUAUAUCUGUAAAUCAUGAAUUGUCCUUGUAUUUCAACUGAAAAAUGUAUGCUUCUUAGAGAUUAAGUGGGUUGUCAAGGAGGUAAAAGAUCUCUACAAUGAAAAUUAUAGAACACUGAUGAAGAAAUUAAAGAAGAAAGUAGAGUAUGGAAAGACAUCCUUGUUCUUGGAUAGAUAGAAAUAAUAUAGGUAAAAUGGCCUUAUUACCAAAAGCAAUAUACAGAUUUAAUACAAUCACCAUCAAUAUACCAAUGACAUUCUUCACAGAACUAGGAGAAACAGACCUAAAAUUCAUGUGAAAGAGUAAAACCCCAGAAUAGCCAAAGCAAUUGUAUAAGCCAAAAAAGUAAUGCUGGUAGAAUCACAAUAUUUAACCUCAAAUUAUACUACAGAGAUGGUACUGGCAUAAAAAUAGACAUAUAGGGCUGGGGAUGUGGCUCAAGCAGUAACACGCUCGCCUGGCAUGCGGGGGGCGCUGGGUUCAAUCCUCAGCACCACAUAAACAUAAAUAAAGAUGUUGUGUCCACCGAAAACUGAAAACUAAAUAUUAAAAAAUUCUCUCUCUUUAUCCUCCCUCCCUCCCUCCCCCUCCUCUCUUUAAAAAAAAUAGACAUAUAGACAAACUGAACAGGAUAGAAGACCAAGGUAUAGACUCACACAGAUAUCUGUUCCUUGAAAAUGUGCCAAAAACAUGUUGGAGAAAAGACAACGUUUUUAACAAAUAGUUCUGGGGAAACUAGUUAUCCAUAUAUAGAAGAAUGAAACUAGAUCCCUGUUUCUCACUGCACAAAAGUUAACUAAUUUAAAAUGGAUCAAAUAUCUAGGAAUUAGACCAGAGACUUGGAAACUCCUUGAAAUAAAUGGUUAACACUCCAACAUAUAGGUACAGGCAAUAACUUCCUAAAGCUCAGGAAAUAAUACCAAGAAUUAGUAAAUACAUAAAAUUAAAAAAAACUACACAGUAAAAGAAGCAAUUAAAAAUAUGAAGAGAGAGCCUAUAGAAUGGGAGAAAAUCUGUGCUAUCUAUUCUUCUAAUGGAAGGCAAAUAUUCAGAAUAUAUAAGUAACUCAAAAAACUUGCCAUCAAAAAACAAAUAAUUGAAUCAAUAAAUAGGCAAAUGAACUAAACAGACACUUCUCAAAAGAAUACAUACAAAUGGCUAACAAAUAUAUGAAAAAAUGUUCAACAUCUUUAGCAAUUAGGAAAAUACAAAUCAAAACUGCACAGAUUUUAUCUCACUCCAGUUAGAAUGCCAGUCAUCAAGAAUACAAACAAUAGUAAAUGCUGGAGAUGCUGUCGGGGAAAAGGAACACUUUUACACUAUUGUUGGAGUUGUAAAUUAAUGCAACCACUAUGGAAAUCAGUAUGGAGUUUUAUCAAAAGACUAGGAAUGCAACCACCAUAUGACCCAGGUAUUCCACUCCUUCGUAUUUAUCCUAAAGAAUUAAAGUCAGCAUAUUAUAGUGACACAUGCAUACCCAUGUUUAUAGCAACAUAAUUCACAGUUGCCAAAUGGAACUAUCCUAGGUGUCUAUCAAAAGAUGAAUGGAUAAAGAAAAUGUGGAAAGCAUACACAAUGGAGUUAUAAAGAAGAAUGCAAUUGUCAUUUGCAGGAAGAUGAAUGGCACUUGAGAGCUCUUGUAUGUGGAAGCUAGAGAGGAAAAAGGAAAAGAAAGGUAGGAAGUUGGGUUCUCAUGAAAAUAUAAGGGAAACUAAUAGAGGAAAGGGACCUUUGAGAGAGAAGAGGGGAGGGAAAGGAGAAAUACCGGGGAAUGAUAUUGACCAAAUUUUAUUGCUAUAUCGUGUGCAUGUAUGAAUAAGUAAUAAUGAAUAUCAUUAUUAUGUAUCAUUUUAAUAUACCAAUAAAAUAUGGAAAGAGUAAAAAAAAGGUGGGUUGUAUGUCUAUCAGCUUUUUGUCACUAUGACCAAAAUACCUGACAAUAACAACUUAGAGGAGGAAAAGUUGAAUUUAGGUUCACAGUUUCAGAAGUUUAGUCUUUGGUCAGUAUACUCCAUUACUCUGGGCCUGAGAUAAGGCAGAACAUCAUGGUGAAAGGGCAUGGUGAGGGGGAGAGGGAGAGAAGGAAAGAGAAAUAGUUUAUGAGUUUAUGGUUGUAUGCUGGAAAUUGAGCUGAGAUGUACUCAAGAGUCAAAGAAAGAAAGACAGUUAAAACAUUUUGAUAAGUUGAGUACCACAUCAUGGGAAGGUACAAUAUUUUAAUCUUAAAAUAAGCCAGAGAUAAAUAAUCCCCAAGGGCACAACCCCAGUGACCUACUUCCUCCAGCCAUGUCCCACCUGCCUAUAGUUACCACCCAGGAAUCCAUUAAAAUUAUUAUUCCAUCAAAUAGGUUAAUCUUCUGAUUAAGUUAUAGCUUUUAUUUCUAAUCAUUUAACCUCUGAGCAUUAGUUGCCUCUGGUUCCACUGUUAACUGGUGAUGUGAUAGACUCGAGUUGAUAUUACUGCAAUAAUGCCACACAGCCUUAUCAAUAUUUUUAGAUCAUUUAUAUUUUUUACAAAAUUUUGAAUGACUCAUGGAUUCCUUUUUGUUUUCCCUUUAAAAACCCUGAACAGGGUGAUAUGGCUGAUAGUUACCCUAAUAUUUAGUUUCAUACAGGUAGGGUAGUUUGAUUCCUAUUUUUUUGAGUGAAAACUGGAAUCAAUAAAUGACCAGAAUUUCAUUCAAUUUUAAGAACAAACAGCAGCAGAAUUCUACAUUUAAGAGAAAACAUCCUUAGGAGUGUGAUAAUAUACCCAUCCCUUUGAAUAUACAGUGACCAUUACUCUUAUCUGGUUGAUUAGAGAAAUAAAACAAGCAGGUAAACACAUAUGUGGAAAGGUAGGUCUUCAAGUGAUAAGAGAUGGGGAUUAUUUUAUACAAUUAAAAGAUGUCUUCUUUCUUGGAAGGGAAGGAGAAAACUGAAAGGCUAGCCAACCUGGGAGAGGAGGACCACAGUCUGGCUUCCCAUAGACAGUGCAGUUGUUACUUUUGAAAUUCAGACUCUCCUUAGAGUUAGUGUUUAAAGGGCAAUGGAUGAACAUAAAAACAACUUUGGUUAAAAACAAGUGGUGAUUCAGUUUAAAUUCUGAACAGAAUUCAACUUCAAUUCUUUGGAGACCAAACUUAGGCUGUGAGACAAUUUGGAUAUAUUAGAAACCUGAUCAGUGUCUCCAGUCUUUACCAAAAGAGAAAAGUUUGAGUUCAACUCUGUUUACUUCAUUCUAUCCCUAGGCAAAAGCAAGGGUUGGGGACAUAAAAAGGAAGUUGUGUUAGAUCUUUAUGGCAAAUAAAAGUUCAAACAGGUUUGAAAGGUUUUUAUAAAAGCUUAGAUUCUGUUCUGUUUAUCAAAAUCUUGAAAAAUAUUUGCCUUUUUGUUAAUACCUUAAGAAAUUAAAAUAUAGAAUGGUAUUCAGAAUCUGUCAGGUGAAAAAUGGAGUGGGUAGAAAUUUCCUUUGACCUUCCAUAUCAUACAAUUAUAUAGUUAACCAUAUAUACAAUCAUGACCACUCAACAUAAAAACACCUCUUGAAAGCCUAUAUUCAUCCAGACACAAAGAUAAAAUAGGGCUAAGUAUUUAGAAAAAAUGUGAAAUAAAUGAAACUGGUCUUUGGUAUUGUUAACUAAAUUUUUUGUAUCCAAUUGCUCUGUGCUUAAAAUUCUCCAGUUAUCCAACUAGAUCUGUGUUCCAUGUUUUUCCAUGUUUCUCUAUACCUGGGUGCUUGAUCUAUCUGGAAUUCAUCAACUAGACUACUUCCUUGCUCUCUGACUUUUACUUGAAUUUGGCCAUUGAGAGCAUUGGCAAGAGGUUAGAUCUAGGAGGAUAUCUGGAGUAUUUUCUCUGCGGCCAACUUCCAUCCUGGCCAGGGGUUAGUAGUGGCUGUAUUCCUCUAAUGAAGGCACUGUUUCUGUCAGUGGCCCUCUUCUACAGCCUUAACUAUAGACACAGAUCUAUCUGGAAUUCCCUUAUACUUUCAGGGUUACAAACACUUGCAUUUGCUAGCCUCUCAGUGUUUCUCUUUCUCAUUCUUUUCUGCAGUCCUGACCUCAUCCCUCUAAAUAGCCCUACUCUGCCCAACAAGCACUUUCUGGAUGUACCAUUUAUUUCCUUUCAGUAUUUGAUUGAUAUACUAGCAAGAUGGUAUCUUCUUCUACAGAUAUAAAAAGAGAGUCAUCUCUGGUUGAACUACUAUUGAAGUAAUCCACCGUCUAUUUUUAAUUAUUCAAUACUGGCAUAUAGGUAGAAUGGUUUUAGAAUAAUUAAACCAUUCUCCCAGAGGAAACAACUUUACUAACUAAAGUAUGCUUGCUUAUGUACAAUUUUUUUGUCUUUAGUCUUACAAUCUUUACAUAUUUCCAUAAGAAGCUAAGAGCUAAGUAACUGAACUUGUUACUUUUAACUAAUUCUUUAAAAUUUUAUUUUAUUCAAGAACUCUACAGGUGCCAACUGUAAGUCAGGCAUGGAGUUUAUAGUCUAGUGGGAGAAAUAAACCAAGACACUUAGCCAUUACUUUGUGACUAAUUCAUUCCCAAAACUUUGCCAUAAAGUACAAAACUGGAAAUGAAGAAAUGAUUUCCAUGUAUUUUAAUGGAAAAGUUAUGAUUUGUUCCAUUUUAAUUCAAAGCACCUAAUUUUCACAGAAAAACAUACCAAUUGAACAAUUUAAGCAAUUUUAUAUAAGUAAUAAAAUUUAGUUGAACAAAAUAAGUUUAUGUAUGAAAUGUAAUAUGAAGAUUUGUUGUUCUUUCUACAAUUUUGUAUGAAUAGUAAAACUUUGAAAGCUAAAAAACAAAGUUCAGAUAUAAAAGGUAAUGUUAUAAAGAUUUGUUGUCCUUUCCAAAGUAAGAAGAAAAGGCUAGAUCCAACUUGAUGACUGGGAUGGAGGAGUAUGAGGAGCUGCUCUCUGGAAGACAACAUGGAGUCAGGUGACCCUCUAUCAAACAUAAUGACUAUUAAAAGACUUUCCUGUCUUUAUUGUCUAUUUAAAGACUUUAUUCAUUUGAUCUUUAGCAAUAUUUUUCUUACAGAGGUCUCAACUUUUGAAUACUUAUGAUUUUCUUAUACUCAAAUAAUGUUUGCCAAUGUAAAAUUCAAGAACAGAGACAAUCUUUAGGGAAAAACAAAGAUAAAACAUGGCAAUAUGGCAAACACAAAGUAAUAAUACUCUUUCAUACAACAUACUGAAGAGCCCUAGAAGAUGUUACUUCUCCAUUCUUUUAAAGUGUUCAUCUAUCUGUUUAUCCAUCAAUCUGUUGAUAGACAUUUGGGCUGCUGCCAUCUUUGACUAUUAUAGAUAGUGCUGCUCUUCAAGUACAUGUCGUGAUUUGUUUGAGUACCUUAAGUUUAAAUAUUUAAUAUACCGCCAAAUUGUAUUUCAGUGGUGGAACUGAUAAAGACAUGGUGAAGCCUCCCCACAACUGGUUUUUGUUGGGGGGGGGUGGUACCAGGUAUUAAACCCAGGGGUUCUUAACCACUGAACUGCUUCCCCAGCGCUUUUUUUUAUUUUUUGUUUUGACAAAGGGUCUCUCUAAAUUUCUUAGGAUCUCAUUAAAUUGCUGAGGUUGGCUUUGAACUUGAAAUCCUCCUGUCUCAAGCCUCCCAAGUUGUGCUCCACUGUACCCAGCUUUCCCUUAUUCUUUUUUUUUUUAAAUCAGUGCAUUAAGAAGUCUUAUUCCUACCUAUUUUAUCUGUUUGCAAAGGUAUUCUGCAUUCCUGGAGUGGGAUAUCUUGGAAUUUUAUGGACAGCACAAGUGUGAAAAUACACAGAGUAUGAAGAGAAGGACAGCUAGGGAAAUAAAAAAAUAAUAUUUCCACUAUUUCUGCUUCUCUACAUAGGAUUAGGGAAGAAAGUGGAGGAAGAAUUAUUUACAGGGGAUUUUUGAGGAUAAGUAGACUUUUCAAGAUAGGUAAGGGAGGGACUACAUAAGCAAGGGAUCGCAGAUAUGAGUGUUGUAUGGACUUAUUAAUGUACUAUUUGUUUAUGCUUCUGAUAAUUAGAUAGUAAGGUUGCUGCUCCCAAAACCCCAUUAUAACUUUGAAGCUAACCUCGUAUAUUAUAUUAUUUUAUCCAUAAAUAUUCCCUUAUGUAAUUCUAAAAUUAAGGACAGCUGUCAUCCAUGGGUGCUAAGAAGUUCCAGCACACCACUGGGAUGAUCCUUUAAUGAUAAGGAGUUGUCAUGUCAAACAUUUUCCUUAUUGGGAUAAAUUAGGACAUUAGAAUGUUGUGGCAAAUAUUUGCUAAUUGUUCACUACAGCCUUCCCUUCUCUCCCUGGCACUCAGAUGUUUUCAUAGCUUCCUUUGCCCAUUCCCUUAAGUGUGGCCCAAGACCAGGAAAUGUGGGCAGGAAAUAUAGUCACUUCUAAGAUUGGCCUAUAAAGAAACCUCCUAUCGGAUCCGUCAUGUUCUUUCUUUCAUCUUCCUCCUGCUGAAUGCAGAGGGUCAGCAGAGAACUCUGAGGCUUUAGAGAAUGGAAAGCCCAUAAGAUGGCAGAGGACCAGUCCCUGAAAUAUGUUUGCAUAGUUAAUAACACUCGGUUAGACUUGAUGUACCUGGGAUAUAAAUAUCCAUUUAUCUGCAAAUGCCAUAUUUCAUUCUCCUUUAAAGCUGAGUAAUGUUUCAUUCAUAUAUAUAUAUAUAUAUAUAUAUAUAUAUAUAUAUAUAUAUCAUAUUUUCUUUUUUAUUUUUAUUUUUAAAUUUUUAAAUUGACUUUAAAAAAAUAAAUGACAGAGGACUGCAUUACAAUUCUUAUUACAUGUAUACAGCACAGUUUUUCAUCUCUGGUUGUAUAUAAAGUAUAUUGACACCAAUUCAUUUCUUCAUACAUGUACUUUGGAUAAUGGUGUCCAUCAUAUUCCAUCAUUCUUGUUAACCUCCUGUCCCCUCCUUUCCCCUCACACCCCUCUGCCCUAUCUAGAGUUCAUCUAUUCCUCCCAUGCUCCCCUCCCUACCCCACUAUGAAUCAGCCUUCUUAUAUCAGAAAAAAACAUUUGUUUUUUUUCGAAUUGGCUAACUUCUCUUACCAUUAUCUUCUCCAAGGCCAUCUAUUUACCUGCAAAAGUCAUGAUUCUAUUCUUUUUUAUUGCUGAGUAAAAUUCCAUUGUGUAUAUAUACCACAUUUUUAAAAUUUAUUCAUCUACUGAAGGGCAUCUAGAUUGCUUCCACAGUUUAGCUAUUGUGAAUUGUGCUACUAUAAACGUGGAUGUGGCUGUGUCCAUGUAGUAUGCUGUUUUUAAGUCUUUUGGGUAUAAAACGAGGAGAGGGUCAAAUGAUGGUUCCAUUCCCAGAUUUCCAAGGAAUCUCCAUACUGCUUCCCAUAUUGGCUGUACCAAUUUGCAGUCCCAUCAGCAAUGUAUCAGUGUACCUUUUUCCCCAUAUUCUUGCCAAUGCUUAUUGUUGUUUGCCUUCAUAAUAGCUGCCAUUCUGACUGGAGUGAGAUGAUAUCUUAGAGUAGUUUUGAUUUGCAUUUCUCUUAUUGCUAGAGAUGAUGAACAUUUUUUCAUAUAUUUGUUGAUUGAUUGUAUAGCCUCUUCUGAGAAGUGUCUGUUCAGGUCCUUGGCCCAUUUGUUGAUUGGGUUAUUUGUUUUUUUUGGUGCUUAGCUUUUUGAAUUCUUUAUAUACACUAGAGAUUAGUGCUCUAUCUGAUGUGUGAGGGGAAAAAAAUUGCUCCCAGGAUGUAGGCUCUCUGUUCACCUCACAGAUUGUUUAUUUUUCUGAGAAGAAAGUUUUUAGUUUGAAUCCAUCCCAUUUAUUGAUUCUUGGUUUGAAUUCGUAUGCUAUAGGAGUCUUAUUAAGGAAGUUGGGGCCUAAUCCCACAUGAUGAAGAUUAGGGCCUGUUUUUUCUUCUGUGAGAUGCAGAGUCUCUGGUUUAAUUCCUAGGUCCUUGAUCCACUUUGAGUUGAGUUUUGUGCAUGGUGAGAGAUAGGGGUUAGUUGCAUUUUGUUACAUAUGGAUUUCCAGUUUUUCCCACACCAUUUGUUGAAGAUGCUAUCUUUUCACCAAUGCAUGUUUUUGGCACCUUUGUCUAAUGUAAGAUAAUUGUAGUUUUGUGGGUUAGUCUCUGUGUCCUCUAUUCUGUACUAUUGGUCUACCAGUCUGUUUUGGUGCCAAUACUAUGCUGUUUUUGUUACUAUUUACCUGUAGUAUAGGUUAAGGUUUGGUUUAGAGUUGCUACCUGCUUCACUCUUCCUGCUAAGGAUUACUUUAGCUUUUCUGGGUAUCUUAUUUUUGUCAGAUGAAUUUCAUGAUUGCUUUAUCUAUUUCUAUAAGGAAUGCCAUUGAGAUUUUGAUCAGAAUUGCAUUAAAUCUGUAUAGUGAUUUUGGUAGUAUGGUCAUUUUGAUAAUAUUAAUUCUGCUUAUCCAAGAGCAAAGUAGAUCUUUCCAUCUUCUAAGGUCUUCUUUGAUUUCUUUCUUUAGGGUUCUGUAGUUUUAAUUAUAUAGCUCUUUCAUCUAUUUUAUUAAGUUGAUUGACAAGUAUUUUUUUUUGAGGUUAUUGUAAAUGGGGUAGUUUUCCUCAUUUCCUUCUCAGAGGAUUUGUCACUGAUAUACAGAAAUGCCUUUGAUUUAUUAGUGUUGAUUUUAUAUCCUGCUACUUUGCUGAAUUCAUUUACUAGUUCUAGAAGUUUUCUGGUGGAGCUUUUGGGGUCUUAUAGGUAUAGAAUCAUAUCAUCAGCAAAUAGUGAUAAUUAAGUUUUCCUAUACAUAUCCCUUUAAUUUCUUUUCUCUGUCUAAUUGCUCUGGCAAGUGUUUCAAGAACUAUGUUGAAUAAAAGUGGUGAAAGAGGGCAUCCCUGUCUUGUUCCAGUUUUUAGAGGGAAUGUCUUUAAUUUUUCUCCAUUUAGAAUGAUGUUGGCCUGAGGUAUAGUGUAGAUAGCCUUUUGAGAUAUGUUGAGAUAUGUUCCUGUUAUCCCUAGUUUUUCCAGUGUUUCGAACAUGUAUAGGUGCUGUAUUUUGUCAAAUGCUUUUUUGCAUCUAUUGAGAUGAUCAUAUGAUUCUUAUUUUUGAGUCUAAUUGAUGUGAUGAAUUACAUUUAUUGAUUUCCAUAUGUUGAACCGACCUUGCAUCCCUGUGUUGAAUCCCACUUGAUCAUGGUGCAAGAUCUUUUUGAUAUAUCUUUGUAUUUGAUUUGCCAGAAUUUUAUUGAAAAUUUUUGCAUCUAUGUUCAUUAGAGAUAUUGGUCUAAAGUUUUCUUUCUUUGAUGUGUCUUUGCCUGGUUUUUGGGAUCAGGGUGAUAUUGGCCUCAUAGAAUGAGUUUGGAAGUGCUGCCUCUUUUUCUCUUUCCUGAAAUAAAUUGAAGAGUAUUGGUAUUAGUCCUUCUUUAAAGGUCUUGUAAAACUCGACUGUGUAACCGUCCAGUCCUGGGUUUUUCUUGGUUGGUAAGCUUCUGAUGGCAUCUUCUAGGUAUAGAAUCAUCACUUGAUAGUGGUUUGUUUAAAUUGUGUAUAUCUUCCUGAUUCAAUUUGGGCAAAUUGUAUGACUUAAGAAAUUUGUCAGUGCCUUCAAUGUCUUCUAUUUUAUUGGAGUAUAAGUUUUCAAAAUAAUUUCUAAUUAUCCUUUAUAUUUCUGUAGUGUCUGUUGUGAUAUUACCUUUUUCAUCACUUAUGCUGAUAAUUUAAGUGUUCUCUCUCCUUCUCUUUGUUAGUGUAGCUAAGGGUCUGUCAGUUUUAUUUAUUUUUUCAAAGAACCAACUUUUUGUUCUGUCAAUUUUUCAGUUGUUUCUUUUGUUUCGAUUUCAUCUCUAAUUUUAACUAUUUCUUGCCUUCUACUGCUUUUGAUGCUGAUUUGUUCUUCUUUUUUCUAGGGCUUUGAGAUGUAAUGUGAUGUCAUUUAUUUGUUGACUUUUUCUUCUUUUAAAAAAUGAACUUCAUACAAAUGAACUUUCCUCUUAAUACUGCUUUCCUAGUGUCCCAGAGAUUUCGAUAUGUUGUGUCUAUGUUCUCAUUUACAUCUAAGAAGUUUUUAAUCUCCUUCUUGAUAUCUUCUGCAACCCAUUGUUCAUUCAGUAACAUAUUGUUUAUUCUCUAGGUGUUGGAGAAAUUUCUAUUUUUUAUUUUGUCAUUGAUUUCCAAUUUCAUUCCAUUAUGAUCUGAUAAAAUACAUAGUAGUAUCUCUACUUUUUUGUAUUUGCUAAGAGUUUCUUUGUGGCAUAUUAUUCAGUCUAUUUUAGAGAAGGAUCCAUGUGCUGCUGAGAAGAAAGUGUAUCCACUUGAUGCAGGUUGAAAUAUUCUAUAUAUGUUAGUUAAGUCUAAGUUAUUGAUUGUAUUAUUGAGUUCUAUAGUUUGUUUAUUCAACUUUUGUUUGGAAGAUCUAUCCAGUGGUGACAGAGGUGUGUUAAAGUCACCCAAGAUUAUUGAAUUGUGGUCAAUUUGACUCUGGACCUUGAGAAGAAUUUGUUUGAUGAACAUAACUGCACCAUUGUUUGGGACAUAUAUAUUUAUGAUUGUUAUGUCUUGUUGGUGUAUGGUUCCCUUGAUCAGUAUGUAAUGACCAUCUUUGUCCCUUUUGAUUAACUUUGGCUUGAAGUCUACUUUAUUUGAUAUAAGGAUAGAAACCCCUGCUUGUUUCCGCAGUCCAUGUAAGUGGUAUGAUUUUUCCCAACCUUCUAUCUUCAGUCUCUGUAUGUCAUUUGCAGGUAAAUAAGAUGGCGUUGGAGAAGUGAAGUUUGCCAAUCCCCCCCAAAAACAAAUUCUGCAUGUUUUCUCUGAUAUAAGGAGGCUGACUCAUAGUCGGGUAGGGACGGGGAGCAUGGAAGGAAUAGAUGAACUCUAGAUAGGGCAGAGGGGUGGGAGGGAAAGGGAGAGGGCAGGGGAUUAGCAAGGAUGGGGAAUGUGAUAGACAUCAUUAUCCAAAGUACAUGUGUGAAGACACGAAUUGGUGUCAACAUACUUUAUAUACAACCAGAGAUAUGAAAAAUUGUGCUGUAUACGUGUAAUAAGAAUUGUAAUGCAGUCCGCUGUCAUUUAUUUUUUAAAAUCAAUUUUAAAAAAAGAUUUUUGAGUUCUUUUUAUACCUUAGAGAUUAGUGCUCUAUCUGAUGUGCAUGUAGUAAAAAUUCGGUCCCAUUCUGUAGGAUCUCUAUUCACCUCACUGAUUGUUUCUUUUGCUGAGAAGAAACUCCUCAGAUUGAAUCCAUCCCAUAUAUUGAUUCUUGAUUUUAUUUCUUGCACGUUAGGAGUCUUGCUAAGGAAGUCAGAGCCUAAUCUGAAAAUGAUGAAGAUUUGGGCUUACUUUUUCUUCUAUUAGGUACAUUAGUACUGGUUUAAUUCCUAGGUUCAUAAUGCACUUUGAGUUGAGUUUUGUGCAUGGUAAGAGAUAGGGGCUUAAUUUCAUUUUGCUGCAUAUGGAUUUCCAGUUUUCCCAGCAUCAUUUGUUGAAGAGGCUAUAUUUUCUCUAAUGUAUAUUUUUGGUGCCUUUGUCUAGUAUGAGAUAACCAGCAGACCCAUGCCAGAACCCAGACCUGCCCCACUUUCAUCUUGGGACCUUGCAGCCAUCACCAUACCUCUCUCUCUGCAGGAGCCUCCACCUUGGGACAACAUAUAGGUCCUGGAGACCAGUGCAUGUUGGAACAGGCAGCCUAAAACCAUUGUGAGGCCCAACCUUUCAGCCCCAUCUCUGAAAGUGGUUGCAUCCAUCUUGGGAAAUCCCCACUGCUAUCUUGAUAUCUCAAGAUUAGUGCUAUUUCCACCACUACCUUUAAUUGCAAUUGCAUUUAUUGUAGGACGCUGAUGGAGUCUAGAAGCCCAACACCAAGGUGAGGUACAGGUAAUCUGCAGGGACACUGUUAGAUUAUACAUAGAAACUAUAAUACCACAGAUUCUCACCGCAAGAAAGGAAGACAUAGACAAAAUGAAAGAUCAACGGAGGAAAGUGCCCCAAACAAACCAAGAUACUACAGUAAUAGAAUCCAUGGACAGCACAGUUGAUGAAAUGUUAGAGAAGGAGUUCAGAAUGUGCAUGAUUAAAAUGAUCGAUGAAUUAAAAAAUGACUUAAGUGAGCAAAUACAGGAAAAAAAUUAUCACUCCAACAAAGAGAUAAUGGAACAAAUACAGGCAACCAUUGAUUACACCAAAAAAGAGAUAGGGGAACAAAUACAGGUAGCAAAAGACUAUUUCCAGAAAGAGAUAUUCUUAAAAAUGAAACAUAAUGAAAUAGCAACAACAACAACAAAAGAAAAUCAGAAAUCCUUGAAAUGAAGGAAACAAUAAACCAAAUAAAAAACUCAAUAGAAAGCAUCACCAAAAGACUAGAUCACUUGGAAGACAGAAAAUCAGAUAAUGAAGACAAAAUAUUCAAUCUUGAAAAUAAAGUUGACUACACAGUGAAGAUGGUAAGAAACCAUGAACAAAACUUCCAAGAAUUAUGGGAUAACAUUAAAAGACUAAAUCUAAGAUUUAGUGGGAUAGAGGAAGGUACAGAGAUUCAAACCAAAGGAAUAUAAAAUCUCUUCAAUAAAAUAAUAUCAGAAAAUUUCCCAAGCAUGAAGAAUGAAUCAAAUACAAGAAGCUUACCAGACACCAAAUGUACAAAAUUACAACAGAUCUAUACCAAGACACAUUACAAUGAAAAUGCCUAGCAUACAGAAUAAGGAUAGAAUUUUAAAAGCCACAAGAGAAAGGAAUCAGAUCACAUAUAGGGGGAAACCACUUAGGAUCUUUGUAGAUUUUUCAACCCAGACACUGAAAGCUAGAAGAUCCUGGAACAACAUAUACCAAGCUCUGAAAGAAAAUGAAUACCAAUCAAGAAUUUUUUAUCCAGCAAAGUUAAGCUUUAGAUUUGAUGAUGAAAUAAAAGCCUUCCAUGAUAAUGAAACGUUAAAAGAAUUUACAACUAGAAAGUCGGCACUACAGAACAUUCUCAGCAAAAUAUUCCAUGAGGAGGAAAUGAAAAACAACAAUGAAAAUCAGCAAAGGGAGGUAUUACACUGCAGGAAAAAUCAAUCAAAAAAGAAACCAAGUCAAGUUAAAUACCAAAAAUAAACAAAAAUCACCAGGAAUACAAAUUAUGUCUCAAUAAUAACCCUGAAUGUUAAUGGCCUAAACUCACCAAUCAAAAGACAGACGGGCAGAUUUGAUUUGAAAAAAAGACCUAACAGUAUGUUGCCAUCAAGAGACUCAUCUCAUAGGAAAAGACAUUCACAGACUGAAGGUGAAAUGUUGGGAAAAAACAUACCACUCACAUGGACUGCAGAAACAAACAGAGGUUUCCAUCCUCAUAUCAAAUAAAGUAGAUUUCAAGCCAACGUUAAUAAAAAGGGAUAAAGAAGGGCAUUUUAUACUUCUUAAGGGAACCAUACAUCAACAAGACAUAAUAAUUAUAAAUAUAUAGGCCCAAACAAUGGAGAAUCUAUGUUCACCAAACUCUUCUCAUGUUAAAGAGUCAAAUAGACCACAACACAAUAAUUCUGGGUGACUUUAACACACCUUUUUCACCACUGGAUAGAUCUUUCAAACAAAAGUUAAACAAAGAAACUAUAGAACUCAAUAAUAAAAUCAAUAAUUUGGACUUAACAGACAUAUAUAGAAUAUUUAAUCCAUCAAUAAGUGAAUGAAUGAAUACACUUUCUUCUCAGCAGCACAUGGAUCCUUCUCUAAAAUAGACCAUAUAUCAUGCCACAAAGCAAUUCUCAGCAAAUACAAAAAUGUAGAUAUUACUACCCUGCAUUCUUUCAGAUUAUAAUGGAAUGAAAUUAAAAACCAAUGAUAAAAUUAAAAAAAAAUAGAAGCUACUCCAACACCUGGAGACUAAGAGAAGGAGAGAGAAAACUCAAAUUACUAACAUUCGUGAUAAAAAAGGAACUAUCACAACAUACACUACAGAAAUAUAGAAGAUAAUUAGAAACAAUUUUGAAAAUUUGUACUCCAAUAAAAUUGAAAAUAUUGAAGGCAGUGACAAAUUUCUAGACUCUCAUGAUUUGCUCAAACUGAAUCAGGAUGAUAUACAGAAGUUAUUAACAAAUCAAUUUCAAGUAGUGAAAUAGAAGAUGCCAUCAGAAGCCUAUCAACCAAGAAAAUCCCGGGACCAGAUGGAUACACAGCUGAGUUAUACAAGACCUUCAAAGAAAAACUAAUACCAAUACUCCUCAAAAAUUAUUUAAUAAAAUAAAAACUCUUUUCUUAUUAUUUACAGGGAAGUUUGGUCUUAUCCUUACCAUAGAGGCCAUUCUCAAAGAGGCCUUUCUUGUUUCACAUUUAGUAACUUUUCCUCUGCUCAAAUAUUAUGCAUUUAAUUUAUUUUCCUCAUUUUACUUUUAAACAUUAAUAAUUUUUUGCCUAUAUUAUUAUUUACAUGAUAGUAUCUGCUCUCUCAUUAGAAUAAAGCACAAAUUGGUUGGAAUCAAACAUGUUAUUUAUUCUUGUUUCUCCAAUAUCAAUUAGAGUGUCUGACAUGUAAUAGAUGCCUAAUAACUAAAAUUUAUUUAGUAUUAAUACAGUAUAUUCUUUAAUAAUUAACUCAGUAUUCUGGAAAUCUCUUAAAUUUAUGUACCACUUUACUAAUCCGAUACAGGUUUUCAUUUGCUAUAGAAAUUGGUGUUUCAUCCUAUUCUAUUCAAAGUUUUUUAGACAAUCAGGCAGGUGCUUCUGAUGCAAGUGUUAUUUACGUGGUUAUUCUUUAUGGAUCCCAAUCCAGAUUCUUAAUAUGUAAUUUUAUGUCACAAUGAAGAUGUCCUGUAAUUUUUGUUUGUUUCUCCUAGAAGGUUAUUUUCAGGUGUGUUCUCUUCUAGGUCAUUGUUCUUAACCAAAGGUGGUCUCCUCCAGUACUUGAGGUACUUGGCAAUAUCCAAAUACAUUUUUUUAUUAUCACACCUUGAAUGAGAUAUGCUGGCAUCUCGUGAGUAGGAGCCUGGGAUGCUUUUCAACAUCCUUUAAUGCACAGGGUAGCUCCCCUAUGUCAAAGAAUUUUCUGUUCUAAAAUGUCAAUAGUGUCAAGGUUUAGAAAUUCAGUUCUAGGUAUUACAGGGGAGAUUUUUUUGGGGGGGUGGCGAAUAAAUUAAAUGACUGUAGAAAUAGUUAGAAAAAUCCAGAAAAAUGGUAAAUUCAACAGCUAAAACAAAUAAAUUGCAAGAAAAAAGAAACAAUGGAAGAGAAGAAAGUAAGGAGUUAGAGAGGGAUACUGCAUCUAUAGAAACUUAACAGACAUAUCAAUGUUCAAUGCAUAUGCCUCAUUUGGAUCCUGAUUUGAAAUAACACAUUAUACAAAAACAUUUGCAGACAAUUAGGGAAACUAGAACACUGAAUAUUUGAUGAUAUUAAAGGUUUUUUAUUAUUUAGGUUUAAUUAUGGCAUGUAAUUAUGUUUCACAAAAGAGCGCUUAUAUUUUAGAGACACUGAAAUGUUAAUGGAUGAAAUAAAGUUAUAUCUAAAAUUUCCUUCUAAAUAAUCUAGUGGGCAUGCAGAAAGUGAGUAUGUGGUAUAGUUAAAGCAGAGUUAUUCAUGCAUUGUGGUCAAAUCUGAUUUAAUAAUAUUAUCUGUAAUAGUUUUCUACUGCUCUAUAGCAAUGUUACUACAACUUUAAUGGCUUAGAACAACACACAUUUUUUCAUGUGUCAGGGGAGUAAGUAUAGUUUAGAUGAAUUCCUCUUUUUAUAUCUUAUGAGGCUGCAAUCAAAAUGUCACCAAAGUUUGUGCUUUCAUUUGAGACUCGGCUAAGGGAAGGUCUGCUUCCAUGCUUAUUCAAGCCAUUGGCAAAAUUCUGUUCCUUGUGAUUGUAGGAUUAAGGGCUUCAGUUUCUUGCUAAUUGUUAGCUAUGGACCACCAUUAGUUUUAUUUGCUAUGCACACACAGUUCCUUUCUGUUUUCAGGGAGAGAAGGAGGAAGUGAGGGAAGGAGCAUGGCAUGGGAUGAGAGGGAGAAAGAGAGAAAGGAGGGGGGAUUAAGAUUGAGAAUAAGAGGAGGCUCUUGGCCCCAUGAAUUUUCUUGACAGGAAGUAGGCUAAUAAAACUAAUUUGAUGGGACUCUACACUACCUUUAAUGGAAAAGCAAGGAUGACUCAGAAGGCAUAAAGAUCCCAGAGGAAGGAGCCAAGAUGUAACCAAGCCAAGGAACAUCAGAAGAAGGAGACCUAGGCCUUAAAAGUUAAUCAAUAAACUCAAUAGUUGCCUGGCUGAUUUCAGAAUUGCUAUGGAGCAGUGACUCCUUUAUUUCUUCUUUUCACCCUAUUGAAUGAGAAUGUCUAUAAACCUUACUUUAAUCCUGUUCAGCCCUUAAAUGUUGAGGGUUUGGGCCAUAGGUAAUUUAUCUGUUGCAUUUUAUAGAUCCAUAUCAGGAAGCAUUAUACCAAGCAAUGUUAUUCAUACUUGGACCUGAUUUAGAAUCUGAGAUUCUGGAAUUUGAGCAGAUGUUGUAUGAGAUGAGACUUUGGAGAUAUUGGAAAAAGGUGAAACUUUGCAGGUGACAAUCGUAUGAACCAGUGAGGGCCAGAGAGCAGAUUACAACAGGGGUUUCUCCAUCAUCUUUACCUCUAAUGUUCAUGCCUUUGUGCAGUCCCUCCCUUGAAUGACAGAAACUAUAACUUAUUUCUAAAAAAUUAUGGUAAACGUUAAUGAUGCAUUUGACUAUGUGUACAUGAUAAUGUUACAUAAGAUCAUAGCUGUUAAAAGCUAAGGUGGCCUUUGGCCAAGAGAGCAAAUAUGUGAAACCCUAAGAGUUAUGUCUGCAAAGAAAUUAAUUCUGCCACUGACUUGAGUGAGUGCAGAAAUGAAUCCUUCCCCAGCUGAGCUGCAGAUGAGAGCACAACCUUAAUUGAUAAUUGUAUUGCAAUCUCUGACUGAUAUCUUUAUGGUAGCUUUGCGGGGCAUAACAGAAGGGCCCACCUAAGAUGUACCUGGACUUUUGAUCCACAGAUAUUGUAAGAUAAAAAUAUGUGUUGGUUUAAUCCUUUAAAUUUUAGGUAAUAUAGUUACAAACCUAUAAAUAACUGGUACACUUUGAACUUUUAUUUGUUUUGAAAUAUUUAUAGUAAAAUGUUUUUUAAAAAUAUUUUCCCUUAGUUUUAAGGAUUUUCUUCUACCUUAUAUUAUUGUCUUUUCAUAGGCUUUACUUAUUUUUUUAAUUUUGUUGACCUUAAUUUUUGUUAAUGUCAAAUUAAUGUUAACCUUUACCAUAACUUGUUAGAAACAAGUUAUAGUUUCUGUCAUUCAAGGGAGGAAUUGCACAAAGGCAUGAACAUUGUUAAGGUCAAAUUUUGUUAAGGAAAAUCAGAGUAGACUGAUGCUUUAAACAAGUUCUCUGUUCCUAUCAUUCCUAUGCCUGCUCAUCUCCUGAUUUUUAAGAUUGGCUUUUGCCACCUGCUCAGUGUGAUGCCUAGUGAGUUUUCAUGUACUAUGAUUUUGCAGGUAUUAGGCAGAAGUCUUCUCUUGCUCCAAUUGUCUGUGGCUAAACCAGAGAUUCAGAUGCAGUUGACAGUGCUCCUUUAAAUAAUAAUGCACACAAAAAACUCUACCCCCAGUAGUUGCUACCUGCUAUGCAUUCCAUUUAUUCUCCUUCUUGCAAUACUUUUCCUUAGAUGAUUAAACUAUCCUAAGAUACCAACAUUCUAUACUUGUGGACUCCACUGUACUUGUAGAAUAAUAUCCAGGGGUCUUAGUUUCUAAAUGGAAGUAAGAGAAAAAGCUUGUUGAUUUGGAAGAAAGUUGAAUGGGAUGGGAGAGCAGAGAACAGUGAAGACUUUGCCUGACACAUGGGAUUGUUAUUUAAGGAUUGUUGAAUGGGCUUCUGUCUUCCUGAGUAGCAACCACACACCCCUGACCCUUGGGUUGAGGCAAAGUUUUUCUUACCUUCUUUGGGACCGUCUGUCCAGUUGUGAUUCAGAGGGUGGAGCAUAUGUUGUGUAAUACAAGAACAUGCAUUUCAUUCCAUUCUCACGAAUGAUUCAUUCAGUGGAAGUUCUCCCUGUACUUUGGCCUAUGGUAUUUUCUUAUUUUUUAUUUACAGUACUAUCAUUAUUUUGCUAUUUUUAUUUUGGUUCAUAGAUAUUUUAAUUUAUUAGGGAAUUUAGAAAAGCUGUAUUAUAUUUGGUACCUGCUACAGUUGUAACUUGUAAAUCUUAGUCUCUUUUUCUGGUUUUAAUAAAAGACUGUGGGAUUGGGAAAGGACACUGACCUUUUGGACACAUUCUGCACAUAAUUCAUAUUUGUGUCUAUCAAUAUUUUAUUAUAAGAAAGAUGUGAAGGAAAUAGCAUUUAGUGGAUACUGAGUAUCUUGUAUACACUAGAUAUGGCACAAGGUAUUUUCACACAAUUUUGUAGUCAAUCUUGACAAAAAGCCUGUGAGUAGGUAUUUUCUCAUUUAAACAAAGAAACUAAGUUUAAGACAAUAUGAAAACUUCUUUCAUAUAUGUGUGUGUGUUUAAAUCUGCAUUUUAAAUCAUACUCUUUUAGCUUCAAGUGUCAUAGUCAGGAAAGCUAAUGCCCUAGUUCUGUGGACAACCCUGAGUUAUUUCAUAUGCUCUCAUAUAGAUCAGGUAGACUUAUAAUCUUAUCCUCCAUUGAGUAGGGCUUCUGAGUCUCUAGAUCGUUGAACUGUGAUUUUACAAAUGGAGUGGGCUUAACAGAGCUGCAGAACCACAUCUCUGGAUCAGAAUGGCAGCACAUAGAUGAGCUCCCUGUAACCUGGAGAGUGGCCUAUGGUUCCUCCUCCAUUUGGAAACAGAAAGCUGUUGGCCAAGUUAUCUAUCUUGGUGUAGAUAUAGUUUGGCAUAUUAAGAACAGCUUGGCUUGAUCAGUUGGAGGCAUCCUACUUACCCUCCCAUGUCUGAAAGGGCUCCACUUCCUCCCUUUGCAGCAUGUGGGUUUCUGCUUUCAUUUGCCCUACCACCUCUUCUUAGCCACAACUGCUUUACCUUCUGAGGCUCCAACCUGGAGUCCUUCGGGAUUCUCAUAUUUUUCUCCUUUAACAAGUUUCCCUUUUUUCUCUUUUAGGUUUCUUUGGGCCACUUUCCUUACCAGGAAUUAUUAAAACCUUCCCCUCCUUUUCCAGCCACAUUUUAAAAAGUAUUUACAUUGAACAACCUUAGCUAUUUGUUGUCUGCCAUUUUUAGAAGAAAAAAAAUUCUUAAAAUACCAACAUCUAAUAUUUAACCCUUCCUGUAUAUCUCUGUCUUCUAAGGCAGAGGCAUCUCAUGUAUCAACUUUCACAGUUUUGGGGCCUUUAUUUUCAGGAGGAUUUCAGUAAGCUUUCCCUCUACUCCUAUCCAGUACAGGUUCUAUCUUCAGAAUAUAUGGCAGGGCCCUUCAUUUCAUGUUAUUUGUUUCAUUAAAAAGUUGUCUAGUUUUCUGAAGAAAGCUUCAGUAUAGAUCUCCCAAACUCACAAAUGUUAUUAAUCAUCUGGAGGAUCCAAGGCAUCCAAUUUCUGGAUCAAUGCUGCCUUGUCCCAGAAUAAGGUCAGCACUACACAUUCCAAGGCUAAAACUUCCCAGUGUCCUAAAGGUUUAACUGUGAAAUAGGGCAUUAGACUAGUCAAAGAAUUAAUGCAUUAAUUAAUGCAUGAAUUGGUAAAAUAUUCUGGUAAAGGGCCAGAUAGUAAAUAUUUUGGGCUGGUGGAACAUGUGGUCUCUGACACAAGUAAUCAGCUCUGCUGCAAUAUCAUGGAAACAUUGUACACUACAUACACAUAAAUAAAUAGACUCCACUGUGAUUAAAUUGGAGACUGGACCUGAAAAGUCCCUGAGCAGACAAAGCUAGUUAGGCCUCAUAAGUGACCUUAACCUUGCUGAAUUUGCAAGCAUGAGUGAAACUUAACUUGAGCUUGUAAAUGCCUAUAUUAAAGAAAAACAGAAUCAAGCUCAACCAAUUGGAAGCAGCCAACAAACUUAUAGUUAUGUAACUAGUAACUUUAUAGUGGGAUAGACCAAAUAAAGCAACUUUAUAACUGUAACCAGAUAUUUUCUUUGUAUUACUUCCACAUUCACUCUAUAAAAAAUUUGCCCCUUAUGCUUCUUCAGUGGAGUCCCCAAACCACUUAAAUUUGGAGUUGCCCAAUCCAUGAAUCAUUCUUUAUUCAAAUAAACUCUUUAAAAAUUUUAUUGUGCCUCAGUUUACCUUUUAACAGCUGUGUUUUAAUAAAUCUUUUUUUUUUUUUUCAAAAAAACCCACAACAGACUGCAGGCCAUAUUUGACUCAUAUGGCAUGGUUACCAAACCCUGCACCUUGCACUAAUGCCUGGACACUUAGAACAUGGGUGCUGUUCCUUAGUGGGCCUAAGAACUAAAGCAGAUAGCCAAGGUCAAAGAUUUGUGUGCCCUACAUUAAAGCCCAAGGUUCAUACUAUGCAAGCUGGCCCUGUCAAAUGCUCCUACAUAUAGUUUUGUUUGGUUUUCUUAUACAAAUCCCAUCUCCUUUUUCUAGAAAUUCAUAGUCCAUUACACUGGAUAUGGAGAUCAAAGGAGGAGGAACUACUGAUAACAUCUAUUUUUUUUGGAUGGGUCCAAAGUCUAAUCCAAUUGAAAAUCAAACAAAGUUGGCAUGUGGAAACCAACAUUUUACUCUUAUUACUAUUAAAAGUCAUAUUGGAGACUGUGGCGUAUAACUGUAGGCAAUUAGGCUUCUCAAUACUGAGUCCCAAAUUAGGCAUACUUAUCAAUAAAUCUCAGGAUCCCUUCAGGAAGUUUGUAUUCAAGAGAUCCAAAGAAGACAGGGUUCUACUUACUUUUUCUGUCCACAUUCACUUUCCAGGUUAGUAGUAACACCUAGUUUGGACAGGAGUGAAGGAGGAAGCCAAGAAUGUCCAGGAAAGCUAUGCCAGUUGGAAUUUUCUCCAAAGGAGAAAGAAUUACACUCCAUGUACAAUGUCAUCUCAAGCCAUGAGUUUGAAGGACCAUUUUGUGUAGAGGUGAAUAAGGCAACUGAGAAUACUAUAACAGAUGGAAGAGGCUUGCAGGGUUUCUAGGCUGAAUGACAUCCAUGAUAGUAGUUAAAAUCUCUAGUGAUUCUGUUUUGUUGCUCUCCAAAGGAUGUGAAAAAGUCAAGAACAGUCUCAAAAUAAUUCAGUGAAGUUCCAGGGUUUUUAUCUUUAUAAUAAUUUCUGAUACAACAACAAAAACCUUGAUAGCAAUUCUUAUGGGUCUGCAGCAUCAGGACUAACAAAUCUCUUUUUUUCUCUUGGCCAGCUCCUAAUAUAGUAAUAGUCAACUAGAAUUCCUCCAUAUUGUGUAGACAAAUGAAUAAACACAGCCUUUCCAAGGUCAUGAUUUUCAACCCUCACCAAUAUGUCUAAGUAGUUAGCAAUAAGUCCCUCCUGCACAGUAUCUUCCAGGUUCUUCCAGGGCCCUACUCUUUAACUCAUGGACAUUUGGAUUCAUCGCACAAUCUUUCUUCUUAAAUUUAUUGCUGUUGAGGAAAAAAAAUAGCAAAUACCAAUAUCCAAAGCAUAGCAUAUAUAGCCAGAUGUGAUGGCAUAACUUAAAAAUGACAAUAAUUAUUGUAAUAAAGAGCCAUCUGCUAAUUUGUUGCUAAUUUUUAUUUGAAAGUGUUGUUUUUAAGGCCUUAACAAGGUCAGGAAAAUAUAAAGUCUCCUUUAAAAAGGAAAAAUGAAAUAGAAAAAAAUAAGUUUCAUAUUUUCCUUGGUCUCUUGCCUAAGAAGGUUACUGUAGGAAAUGUAAAUAGACCACAGGAAGCUUUAGAACCUCAGCUCCUUGAUUGGAAAAAUGGAAAUUCUGUUUUUUACGGAAAUAAAGUAAUUCAAUGAAAAUAAAAAAUGCAGUUGGUUAUCAUUUAAAAAGGGUUAGUCUUUUGGAUUAUGGUUUCUUUGAUAUAGAACAACUCUGGCACAGGCUGUUCCAAGUGUAUUUCUGAAAGCAAAAUAAAUGGAAAACUGUUUUCUCUCUUCAUUAAUGUCUUGCUCUGUUCUAUUUGUGGAAUGCCAAGAGAAGAAGCAUGAAGAGUUUCCCUGGAUCCUGUUCAGAGAGGGAAGGAUGAGUGGGAUGAGGGAGUUGACCCCAAAAGAAAGGAAUAACUUAACAUGAAGAAUAAUGCUUCUCCUAGGCUUGACAAACAUUGGAGCAUUCAUUUUGAGAAAUAACACCUUUCCUGAACCUCUGAUACCAGCUUUUUUAAAUGAAAAGGAGCCAAAAGAAUGUAGAUAAUGGAAAAGAUUUGUUUACUAUCUGUAAAGACCCCAUGACCAUACUUGUAAAUUUUUUGAUUGUUCUUUUGGUUCUUCCCCACCUUCUCUCUCUCUCUCUCUCUCUCUCUCUCUCUCUCUCUCUCUCUCUCUCUCUCUCUCUCUUUCACACACACACACACACACACACACACACAACUUCCCUUUCUUUAUUUCUCUCUAUUUACCUUGAACAUUGUAUCAUCUCUUGCUUAAAUUCAGUUUAACUCAUUUUCUCCCCUUGAACAAAUUUUAGUAUGAAAAUCAUAACAUUGUGAAGAGCAGCUUUUUAGUCAACAUUUUUUGAUUAGUGACUAUAUACCAGAUCCUGGAGACAUAGUGGAGACUAAGCUAGACACAGUCUCUGUUCCCAUGGGGCUUAUUGUUUUCUGGAAGAGAUAGAGCAGGAAUCAGCACACUGAAGUCCAUGGGCAAACUUGUCCUGUCACCUGAUUCACAUUCAUUUUUUUAUAGAUCAUCUACUGCCUGUGUGCUAUAAUAGAAGAAUUGAGACUAUUGCGCCAGAAAGGCUUAACAUAUUUACCAUGUGGUCCUUCCCGAAAGUCUUGCCAACUGCUACUCAGGAAGGAACACUAGUUCCUAUGAUACACAGAGCUAGACAGAGAUAGCCAGUGAAGGAUUUCUAUAGAAGGACAUGUCAAAGGACAUAUCAGUUGGACCUGAUAUCUAUUCUGCCCUUAUUUCUUAGAAAAAAGACCUAAUUUUAAAUUGGGAAUAUAGUCUACAUUUCCCGCUUUUUUUACUAAUAGAAUUUAAGCCUAAGUGUUUUGUGCAUCUAUCUGUAAGUUUCCAUAAAAGAGUGGAUGAGCCCUUGUUCAGGACCCCUUUCUUAUUCUAGUGGUUGUAGUAGAGCUUGGCUAGUCAUCUGGGACAUACCAUGCUGGGAUAGAAAAACAACAAGAGGAACAUAGGAAUUGUAUUUUUUGAAUUUCAUCUACAUAAAGGAGAAAUUUACUUUUUUGUGGUGAAACUGUUUCUAUUGCCUUUGCUGUUAAACGCAACUGAACCCUAUAAGCAUUCCUAAUAUCUAUUUUUGCUCCCCUUAUUUGGGGUAAACCUUUUAUACUUGUAACAACCUUUUUAUUUAAGUGUAAUACAUAUGUAGAGAAAUGCAUGGACCAUACACAUGUAGUUAAAUGAUUUUUUACAAAUUGAACACAGCAGCACAACCAGUAGCCAAAGAAGAAACAGAAUAUUACCAAUACUCCAAAAUGUCCCAGUCUCUUCCAACAGCUACCCCCAACUCAAGAUAACUACUGUUGUGACUCCUAAUAAUACUGAUUACCUUCUCCCCAUUUUGCUUUUCAUACAAAUAGAAUUAUAAAGCAUGUGCUUCUUUAUGUCUGUUUCUUUUGUUCAACAUUGUAUGUGAAUUUUAUCCAUACUGGAAAAUAUUUUUGUGAUAGUAAAUUCUACCACCAUAUAAUAAUCCAUAGUGUGAAUCUAUCAGAAAUUAUCCAUUCCACUCUUAAUGGACAUUUGAGGACCUCCCAACCCUUUGACUAUAACAAAUAGUUCUACUAUAAACAUUUUAGUUCAUUCCUGGGGUGAACACAUACACACAGUUCUGUUAUAUCUAAGUGGAACUGCUAGUCAUAGGGUGUACAUAGAUUCACCUGUAAUAGGUACUAAAAACAGUUUCAAAGUAACUAAACCAGCAAUGUAUGGAAGUUUUGAUUACUCUAAAUUCAUGUUUACACCUGGGAUUUUCAGUAAUGUUAAUGUUAUGUGUACUGGUGUUGCAUUAAGUUUAUAUUUGCCACUUCUUCGUGACUAAUUGUAUUUAUUUAUUGCUACAAUAGUGCAAUACUAAUUGCAAUUAUUUAUUGCUACAAUAGUGCUGCACAAUAAUCUGUGGCAUUAUACAGUGAGCAUGUACUGAUCUCAAGUAGGGUGUGAACUGCAGCGAUUUGGAAGCUCUGUUGUUAUUAACAGAGAUUUCUCAAAUGACUGAGGGUGUCUACUCAAUGUCAGAUGAUCCAGGCUAGCUGCACUUGGAGUGGUUGAGGUUACAUUUUUGUUCUAAAAGUCUGUUCCCUUAGCAUUCUCAUAAAUGGCACAGGUGCAAAAGCAAACAAACCCACAGUGAAAGUGCUUUGCAAAUCUUGUUUGCAUGACAUUUGUUAACAUCCCUUUGGUUAAAGUGAGUCAUACAACCUAACUAAGAUUGAGAAUCAGUCAGUUCUACAAAGUUACACAGCAAAGAAUGUGAAGACAGGGAUGGAAGUAGUGAGACAUUUUGCGAUCCAAGGUGCUAAUGAAGUUAAAUACCUUUCAGAUGUUUAUUGCCAUUUAGAUAUCGUCUUCUGUGAAGACUGCUCAAGUCUUUCUUAUUUUCUUCUUGGAGUGUCACUUUUUUUCCUAUGAAUUCAUUGAUCUUUUUUUAUAUAUUUUUAUUCUUUUGGGGUAGGAUAAAACUAGGAUACACCUUGAUGUAAUCACAAAUCUUGGAACCCAGCUGGUUCCCAUUCAGUUGCCAUCACUCUAACCCCACCCUGCUCCCAUUCCACAGAUCCUUCUUCAAUCCAUUUACAGUUUACUUUUUCUUUUCUUUAUUUCUUUUUUAUUAGUGUCCUGUUGUAUACCUAAUGCAGGACCCACCAUUGCCACAUCCAUGCAUACACAUAAGAAAUUUCAGUCAGAUUCAUUCCACGGCUCUUCCUUUUUCCCAUCUCUUCUUUUUUCUCUUCAUCUACUCUACCUUUCUUUCUUCUAUUUUGAUUAAAUUCUCUCUCCCCUAUUUUUUCUUUAUUUUUCUUUCUUGCUUUUUUUUCAACCCCCCAUGUCCUAUUUUGUAUUAGCUUUCUUAUAUGAGAGAAAAUGUUUGACCUUUGAUUUGGGGGGACUGGCUUAUUUCACUUAGCAUUGUAGUCUCUAGUUUCAUCCAUUUACUGGAUAAUGCCAUAAUAUUGUUGUUCUUUGUGGCUGAGUAACACUCCAUUGUGUGUAUAUACUAUAUUUUCUUUGUCCAUUCAUCUGUUGAAGGGCAUGUAGGUUUGUUCCAUAGAUUGGAUAUUAUGAAUUAUGCUUCUAUAAACACUGAUGGGGCUGCAAAACUGUAGUAUGCUGAUUUUAAAUCUUUUGUAUAUAUACUGAGAAAUGGGAUAGCUAGGUUAUAUGGUAGUUCUAUUCCAGAUUUUCUGAGAAAUCUCCAUACUGCUAUCCAGAGUGGUUGUACUAAUUUGCAGUUCCACCAACAAUGUAUGAUAGCACCCUUUCCCCCAUAUCUUCCCAGUAUUUAUCGUUAUUUGUAUUCUUGAUAAUUGCCACUCUGCCUGGAGUGAGAUGAAAUCUCAAUGUAGUUUUAAUUUGAAUUUCCUAAUUGAUAGAGAUGUUGAAGAUUUUUUUAUAUAUGUUGACCAUUUGUAUAUCUUCUUUUGACAAGUGUCUAUUUAGUUAUUUUGCCCAUUUACUGAUUGGGUUAUUUGUUUUAUUUAAAGAAGACUCAAAAACUUACCAGAUGAAAUCUAGAGCUCAUAAAUGAAUUCAGCAAAGUAGCAGGAUACAAGGUCAAUCAAUACUCAUAAGUCAAUAGCAUUCCAAAACUCAAAUGAUAAAUCUGCUGAAAAAGAAAUUAGAAAAACUAUCCCAUUCACAAUAGCCUCAAAAAAUAAAAAAGAAAGAAAAAAAGUAGUAAUACUUGGGAAUCAAUCUAACAAAAGAUGAUGAAAACUACAGAACGCUAAAAAAAAAAAAGAUUUAAGAAAACCUUAAAAGAUAGAAAGACCUCCCAUGUUCUUGGAUAGGCAGAAUUAAUAUUGUCUAAAUGGCCAUACUACCAAAAGUACUAUAUAGAUUCAACACAAUUCCCAUCAAAAUUCCAAUGAAAUUCUUCAUCGAACUAGAAAAAACUGUUAUGACAUUCAUUUGGAAGAGUAAGAGACCUAGAAUAGCCAAAGCAAUCUGGUUUUGCUUUUUUUUUUUUUCCUUGAUACUGGGGAUUGUACCCGGGGAUGCUCAACCACUGAGCCACAUCUCCAGCCCUUUUUUGUAUUUUAUUUAGAGACAGGAUCUAGCUAAGUUGCUUAGGGCCUCUCUAAGUUUCUGAGCUUAUGAACUUGAAAUCCUCCUGCCUCAGCUGCCCAAGCCUCUGGGAUCGUAGCACCAUACAUGGCUAGCCAAAGCAAUUUUUAGCAAGAAAAGUAAAACUGGACCUCAAAUCAUCAAAUUAUCAAUACUUGACUUCAGAUUAUACUAUAGUAACAAAAACAACAUCAUACUAACACCAAAACAGUAUUCACUGAUCUUAAUAGUUAGAUAAGAGUCUUCCUUGGAGAUCGGUCCAUCUGUCUGUCUUUCUGUCAAUCUAUCUAUCUAUCUAUGAUUCUCCCCUCUGUUGGCUGCCUAUUUAUUUCUCAAUGAUGACUUUUGAAAAAAGCUUUAAUUUUAAUAAAACAAAUUUAUCUAAUUUUCCUAAUGCUUACUACUUUUUAUGUCUCUGUAAAUUUCAUGUCUACUCCAAAGUCAUAAAGAUCUCUAUUUAUAUCUUGUCUUUAAAAAUCUAUAUCAUUUUAUCUUCAUAGGUAGAUCAUAGUUUCUUUAGACUUGAUAUUUUUGAAUAGUUGACAGAGGAAGCAAAUCAUUUUCUUUAUGAUUAUCCAACAAACCAAGUAGUAUUUAUUGAAAAGAUCACACUUUCCCUGCUAAAUUACAGUGUCACUUUUGUAAUAAAUAAGUUGGCACAUACGUGUGAAUCUCUUUGAACAAUCCAUAAUAAAUGUUAUAACCUACUUUUUGCUGUCCUUGGAAGGUGAUAUGCAGACCCACAUCUAUACAUGGAGAUAUGGGCUAAAGAUUAAGUUGGAUGGACAGGCAGAGUCUCACCUGAAGUGAAUUUUUAUUUGGAAACUGAAUUUGAAAUCUCACAAAAGUUUAUUUCAUGCUACUUAUUGACUGACUAAGGAUUAGAAUAGAUAUAUCAUGAGUAAACCUUUUUUUCUUGUUCAGUAUUUUGGGUAAACUAUUUUUGAAGUAUUUAUAGAUCAAACUUUUGCUUUCAGUUGAAUUCACAAAAAUUUAGUUAGUUAUUACACCUAUUCCUAGAGUCAUAUCUUAUGUCUAUUAUCUAUUUUGAUCAUUUUAAUAUCAGGACUUAGGUAGAUACCAGCAUGUAAAAAAUCAGUUGCUUUUAUUCUGCCCAAGAAGAAUUACGUAAUAGGAUAAUUACUAUUUUGUAAAAAGUAGACACUUUCUGAUUUGUAGAGUACUAACAAAUGUGGUCUCUAAAAUUCCAGAUGGCAACUAGGGAGAGAGAAUGGCAUUUCAAGUUUUUCAGACCAUUUUGAAUUAUAGCCAAAUGGACUAGAAAGAAAAGUUUUCAUCAUGAUAUGCCUGAGUUAAUCUUAUUCCCAUUCAGAUCAGAAUAUGAAAGGUUUAGUUACUUAAUAUUGUGUGCCAGAAAUGGCUAUUGAACAGCUAUAACAUAAAUAUAGAGUAAAUCCAUUUUUAAAAUCUGAUCAGCUACUUGAGGCUAUUUUAUUUGCUUGAAAAUGCAGGUGGCUGAAUUAUAACUGCAAAGGAGUAAAUAAAUAUUUCAGCAGGAAGAAUUGAGACAGUCUGCAGCAGUCUCAUUCAUCUGUGAAAUGUUUUCCUUGCUAAUAUUCUUUGGAUAGGUUUCCUCUGUUAUUUUUUUAACUAUGAGAAUGAUAUGUUUUAAAAUACUUCAACAAAUGCAGAAAGACAGAUUUAAUUUAAAUUGCUUCUGUUGCAGGUGACGAACUGUGCAACCUAUGAAAAAGAGGCACAGAAAGAGCCUUUGUUCAAGGCUGAAUACAACUUAGAAUAUGAUUAAGGGCAUUUUCUUCACAUAAUUUUCUCUUUGUGCGUUUUUCAGGGAAAGAGAGGGCAAGGCUAGGGUAUUAAUCUAUUUGCUCAGUGUCCUUUUUAUUCAUAAAGAAGAGACAUUUUCUUUGUUGCCAUAUUUAUUUAACAACUACACUCGGUUGGUGUUUAAUUGUCAUUGUCAAUGGUGAAUGAACAAACCCUGUAUAAGGGUUACCCUGUGUAAGAUCACUUCUCACAACUUUAUAUGUUGCAUCUCUUUAAAUUGAUUUUCAGUUUUCAAAGAUAGAAACCACAUCUUAGAGCAUAAUACCCUCCAUAAAUCAUAAGUAUGUGAGGAGAAAGGUGUUAAUUAGCUUGAUUUAAGUUCCAUAAUGUAUACCUCAUUGCACUGAAGAACACAGAUAUAUAAAAUUAUUAUUUGUGAAUUAUUUUUCAAUUUGUUUCUACAUUUAGCAUGCUACUGAGAAAUAUAGACUUUCAAUAAUUAGAGAGUUAAGAAAUUAAAGUGUUCUUUUCUAUUUUUCAAACUGCACAUAGGUUCUAGUAACUAGAGAAGAGAAGUAUAGUAUAUGGUGAAAAUUAUGAAGACUUAGGUCAGGGUUGUAGGAAGCAUCCUAAUGAAUAGAAGAGGUCUAAUAGUUAUUAGAGGAGGACACUGAGCAUAAAAGAGAGUAGAAAAAGAGCAGUUUAGAGUCCAAGGAAGAAGAGUGUUUCAGAAAGAACAGAUAGAUAGCCAGUGAUGUUGGUGUCCCAGAGAUGUCAGGUUGAGGGUCACUUGAAAUAGAUGGAUAGAUCAAAGAGCAGGCCUAGGGAGACAUGAGAAAAGUCAUUCUUUUGGGAAGUUUUAAGUGUUUCAGAGAACAGUUAGUAUUAUAGAAGUUCAGAGAAGGGAAAGAACAGGAAACUACAUGGGGAAGGUGUGGUGAGAAGAAGGGUAAUUCAUGACUCAUUGGGGGAAAAGCAUAAAUCAUAGUUUAAAUAGCACAUAUAGACAUAACAAUCAGGAAAGUCAAGGAGGGGAAGGAUAUUAGAAAAUCAUGGAAUUAGAAGCAAUACAACAUAAUAACUAUUCAAUGUAGGCAGGUUGGAAGUGGAUGGUUUUAAAAUUUCAAGCUUAAGUGAUUAGGAAUACCUGAAAUGCCAUGAACAGAAAUAGGACAGUUGAAAGAAACAGUUGAUGUUAAACUAUUGAAUAUGAGAUGAAUAUGAGAUGCAGAUGGAACCUCCUAGAGUGGAUGCCAGGAUGAGACUUGUAGGCAGAGAAUUGAUAUCAUAUCAUCUGUUUCACCAUAUCCUCGGAUUUGAAGCACACACUCUUUCAUUCAUAUUGUAGCAUCUUUCUUGUUGCUAGUGUUUAUCAACCAAUUCUGAAACACCUUUUCUAGCCUAUAUCACUAAUAAGACCUUUUUGGUAGUUCCUAUCAUAGUCAUUUAUGACCUCUUGUCUUAUGGCAUAAUGCAUGAAAAGUACUUGACACUAUGCAUAGACCACACUUGAUCAAACAAAUGUCCCCUGAUUUUAAGACCCUAACUAGCCUCUUUUGUUGGUGAAAUUCUACCUACCUUCUUUUUAGUUCCCUUUUGCUUCUGUCACAAAUUGCUACAAAUUUAGUGGCUUUAAACAACACUGAUUUAUUCUCUUAUAGUUCUAAAAGUCAGAAAUCUGAAAUGGUCUCACUGGAACAAAAUCAAAGUGUCCGUUAAUACCAGACUUAUGUUCCUUUCUGGAGAAAAGAAUUUGUUUUCUUGCGUUUCCAGCUUCUAGCAGCUUUCUGUGUUUCUUGGCUUUUGGUUCUUUUUCAUCUUUAAAGUCAGCAGCUGGAGUUUUUCUCACAUGGAAUCACAAUGACAGUCAUUCUUCUGCUUCCUUCCACUUUCAAGGAUCCUUGUGAUUACAUGUGAACCCACUCAGAUAACCCAGUAUACCCUCCCCAUCUCAAGGCCAACUGAUAAGCAAUCUUAAUUUUAUCUUCAGCUUUAAUUUUCCUUUUCCAAGUGACAUAGCAUAUUUACAGGUUCUGGAGAUUAAGGUGUGAUAUUUUGGGGAGGCCAUUAUUCCAUUUACCACACCUGUAAGAGUCACAGUUAGGUGUCACCUCUUCUGUGAAGCAUAUGAUGAAUCCCCAAGAUAAAAUGAAGCAUGUUCUUUGAAGCAUUUCUUCCACAUAUAGUGGCUGCCCUUUAUUUCAGCUCUUAGAAAAUUGUGCUACAAUCAUUGUGUAGUAGUAUAACAUUUUUAUACUAUGUUGUUGGGAACCACACCUUGUUUUAUUUAUUCUUGUCUUCACUCUUCUCCCCCUAUUUGCUUUAAAUUUCAUCAAAGUAUCUGGGAAAUAACAAGCUUUUAACUUAAAAAAAGAUUGAAUUAACAAAUUGAGGAGGUAGAUAGGAUAAAAGUAGAUUCUAUUAGCAGGGCAAAGGAUUUAUAAUGGGUUAGUGAACUUCAGGGCAAAUUGGUCAUAGGAUGGGGUAUAUGAAUGAAAGUCUGAUAAAUCCCUGUAUUUAUAGACAGGUUGAGAAGUCACUUUCAAUCAAAUGGGCACAAGCAGCUAAUAACAGGUAAUGGCUGGAAUUUUCAUAUUUUUUUCAGAUUUUCCAGCAAUUUAGAAAUAGCUUAUUUAUGAAAUCAUAUAUCUUUAGAAAGAGAGCCUAAAAUGGAAAGAAGGCUGAAUAUAAUAACAUGUCAUAUGAGAGGCCGUAAGUACACAAAGUCUAAAACCCAAUAAGUGAUAUGUGUGUAUGUGUGUGUUUAAGUGUAGGAAAUUAAAACAAAUGAAUAGGUAAAGGAGUGUCCCUGCUUAUCCAUCAUUCCCCAGGGAUGUUGGUGCUUGAUUCAGAUGAUAAGGAUAGCUCUAUAUCCCUCUUAGUUUUGAGCUAUCCCUUGGGUGGAGAAGGUCAACACUAGCUGUAUGAGUAUGACUCAUAUUUCCUUCAGGCAACAAUUGAUUUCCUUUUUCCGAUUCUUUUCUCCUACACACCCUCUGAUAAAUAGUCUGGUCUCCUGAGGGAAACCACUCACCAGGAAGGGAGUGCCUGUCUCAGAUCUGACCAGUUCUGUUCCCAGGCCUGGUGGUGGUUGGCCCACUGAAAAUUAAUAAAUCUGCACCCUGGUUUAUAACUAUCUUUAUAUGUUAUUCUAAUGAAUCAGUUUCCCAGAGUCUACUCUCCUGGGCAGUCCAAUAAAGAGAAUGUACCUAAAAACAUGGAGUCAAAGGCCAGUCUCUUGAUCACACUGAGCCCACUCUUUCUGAGAUCUACUGUACUUAUGACUCUGCAUGUGCCACUAUGAUGGUUAAUUGUUUGAACAGCAUUGUUAUACCACUUAGCUAUUAGGUGCUUUCAUUUGGCAGGCAAUGGGUAGCCAUUUAAUUUCUAAAGUCCUAGGGAAGUAAGAUGAUGCAAGUGGAGCUAUAGAGAGAUUUUUCAGAUAUUGCAGUACACAAAGGAUUAAAGAGUUGUGAAAGAUAAUACGUAAUUAGUAAGAAGGCUAUGAAAAUGCUGCCCAGGUGGGAGAGGGCUAGGCAGAGAGGGAAUGAUGUCAAGACAUUACAUACGAAGAAACUGUUAUAAAAAAUGAUAUGAAGAGACUCAACAGUCUAAAACAAUUCUUGGAUUUUGAUUAUAGACACCAGAAUGAGACUAAUCUGACAUAAUCUAUACUUAAUUGAAAAUUUAAUAAAGCUGUUAGUAGGCCCUGAAUUAAUGUUGUGAAAUAAUUUCAACGUGAUUUUCCUUUUUUUAAAAAAUGAAAAUAAGUCAUAUAAUCAACAACAUCAACUCAUGUUAAAGAUUAACAUCCAGGCAGGCUUGUGAACUAUGAUCACUUAUUUUCACUGUUUUCAUACCUAAACUCUCAUCUGCUUUUUCAUUAAUUAGUAGUAGCUGAUAAAUUACUUUGAGAAGCAAGUAUCAUGCCAAAAAUAGUCUCUCAAGUAUGAUACACAAAUUAGUAGGAAAUAAUAAUGGCAUUUAAAACAAUUCAAUUGCAUGUCAAAAAAGACCAACUUUAGGUGAAGGGUACAUACCCAAGUAUCUUCCUAAAUUAUUCUGCCUGUAAUCAUGCAAGAAACAUUUGGCAAAACCACCUGGAAUCUUAACAAAUCCCUGGGAAACAUGACCUGUAGGUGAAAUCUCAACAGGUUUCUAGUGCCCUCGAUGGUACUAAACUAUGUAGCAUCUUUGGGAGACUUCCAUUUCGUUUACAAUCAAGGUCACACUGAAUUUCAUGUAAACACUCUUUGGCUGGAUUCCAUAUCCAGUGCUCUUUCUCAAAAGUCAAAUGAACACAAAAUCCAAGUAAAAAUAAAUAAAUAAAAUUUAUAAAGAACAAGAGCCUCAUUGUCUGGCUUGGCAAAUUUACCUUAAGCUGUUCUCUCUUUCACAUACACACACUUUUUUUUUUAAAUCCUUAAUUGAAAAAUUGAGCCUCUAGCAGCCAAAACAUACACUGCAAAGCUAAAGACGUUUGGGCAUUGGCAUCUCUAAGAACCUGGCACUUGUGACUGCUGUAGCUAGUUUUCACACUGUGAGGCUGCUUUUGAUUUAUUGCUGUCAUAAAAGGGGAAUAGGUGUAGCGUUAUGAUGAUUUGUGAUUUGUUCCUAACUCAAAAGGCUCUGGUGGCCUCUUAAACUUAUUAUAACAACUCAUAUUAGGAAAAUGGAACUAACUUGACAGAUUCAUUCCUCCAGGUUACACGGAAAUAGUGGGGGUUUUCCCUCCUAUGUGUGGGGUUUGAGCUAAGGGGGAAAAUAGAGAGAUGGAGUGAAGAGAUGAGAAGAGAGGAGAAUGUAGCCCCCUGAUGCCCUUACUCUUAAAUAGCCACCUUAGGGGUGUAGAGGUAGACUCCUGGUUAUUUAGCCCUCUUUAUAUGCAUUAAAAGCAAUUCUAUAAAAAUCAUUUAUAUUGCCAUUUUAUUUGCACCUCUUCACAUUUUUUCACUCUGCUGUGAGGGUUCCAGUGGGGCAGCUUUCCUGCCAACACUUGACAACAAUAACCAUGCUGGCUCACGGCAGCUUGAUGGGGCAUCGGGGAGAGGAGGACUCAAACAGGCCGCCCAAGACCUCAGCCUGAGUGAGUAAUUGUAAAAGGCUCUCCACCAUGUGUGUUAAUACUUAGAAAUACAGAACUAAAUGUCAACACUUUGCCUCUCCUGAGAGCACUCACAUCUGAGCACAGAGGCUGAGGGAUAACAGCACACCAGCCUGGAGUUUAGAAAAGAAAAUCUAUAUUAUCUAUUUUAAAUCACUUGUCAAAAAUGAGUUUUUCUUGGGUUUUCUUUUUUUUUCCUAUGGGAGAAAAAAAAAUAUAGAAAAGCCUUUGGCAUGAGCUUCCUUGACUUGGCACUGAGUAGUAGCCAUGAACGUGGAAAAAGGACACCCCAAACCAAAAUGGCUAAUGCAUCCAUCAUCACUCAGAAACAAAAUGUGAAGACAGAGACUUUGGAUGGCAUAUCAUUCUGCUGUUCUGAUCUUCAGGAAGCCUCAGAAGUUCUCCAAAUUUUAGUUAUCUUACUGAUGAAAGAAGUAUAAUCUUUGGCUGCAGAACAGAUUUGCUAUAAUGAACAGUGCUUCUUGUUUUUGUUUAGUUUCAGCACCCCCACCCCCCCACAUGUGAUGUGUAUUGGGAAUGGAAAGGUACUUUUUGCAUUGUGCAAAAAGUUUUAGUUGAAUUGAAAAGAUAUACCAUGCCCAUGGCAGAUCUGAAGCAAUACCACUGGUAAAAUCUAUCUUUUGUCAUCUGAAGAGGGAGAAGCAUUGAAUUCUUUGGCAACAUCAUCGUAGCAAUAGCUGAGGUUCUAACCCCACAGAUUCUCUGCAAAAGAGAGAUUAAACUGCAAGAAUGAGAGGGCUGCAGUGGUUCUAUUGUACUUGUCAAAGUCCUUCUACCAGUAGGCUGAAAGAAAGGAUAACACUGUUGGCAAGCCAUAAUGAUAAUCCUGGCUUGUCUGACUCUUCAGUGUACACCUUGGUGGUUAUUUCCAUGAUGGGAUAUACAAAAACCUCUAUCUGAGUUUGGUCAAUUUGGAUCAACCUUUCUUCCUACUAGUCCCAAGAUAAAGUGUCUUGUGGAAGUUUAGUUUAAUGAAAAUAGCUCUGUUUCAGGAACUGAGAUAAUCCAGUUCUAGUCCUGACUCUGAAACUAACUCGGAGAAAAUCACUUAACCUUGGAUCUAAGCCUUAGUUUCUCAGUAAAGUGUGUGUGUGUCCCCGCACCAAAGUAGGGGAUUGGGUGACUGAGUAGACUAAGUCUUUUAGCUUCUUCUCAGUUCACACAUUCCUGAUGAUGAUGUCCUGAUGCAAGGAUGGUACGAUAGAUAGUUUAGCGUGCUUAAUCUGGUAGAUGAUGAAUAGUAGAAACAGCUAUCUACCAAUCAUGUGUAAGAACCUUUCCUGAGAAAUUCACAUAUAUUUUCUCAUUUUAUUCUUAAAGACAAACUUAUGAAAUAGUUGAUAUUGGACAGAUUGGGGGUCAGAAGCAAUCAUGUUUCUCAUUGAAAAGACUGUGGCAGGUUAUAUAUGCCUCUCUCUAAGAUCAAUAACUUCAAUAUAUAUUCUCCCACUUUCAUUUCUUUUGUUUAUGUCUCUAGAAUUUCAUAAAUCUUUGAGGGGCAACACAAAGUAAUUCCUCUGCAGAAAAAGGAUGGCCAGUGUGGGAUUCAGGUUAUAUUUCCCAAGUGGUAGAAAGGAAUUUGUAGUCAUGGAAGUGUCUCUUGGACAUUGUAGCUUCUUUGUAGUUCCACAUGAUCUAGAUUUACAUAUGGAGAAAGAAUAUAUCUUGACUAUCCCAAGUUGGUUUGGAUAUUUUCUUGGCUGGUAGAAGGAUACACUUCUUACAUUGUCCAUAAAUAGAACAGAACUUGAAUAAUGGUAGAGAUUAAGCCUAAAUUUAAUCUUGGAUCUGCUGUCAUUUUGGCAUACAUGUAAAUAUAUAUGGAGAACACGAAUGUAUUUUAGACACACAUUUGCAAAAAGAAAAUCACAACUAUUGGCCAACAAGAGCUGAGAUUCGAUUAGUUACAUAAAAUGUUCAGGUUUUUUUUCCCCAGAUAAUACUUAUAAGGCUAAAAAAUAUGACUCAUGUAAACUAAAUACAUUAGAACUUUGUUUUGGUGGUCAUCCAUCUUUUUCUUCAAUUUAUUUCUCUAUCUUUCUUUCGUUUUUCUCCCCUCAGAGUACCUGGUUCAGAACUCUUAUUUAUAUUAACUGUAUUGUAUUAUUUAUGUGCAUAUAAUAAGACCCAGUUUCUGAAGGGCAGGACCUGUUUCUAAUUCAUUUGAAUAUCCCCAGGGUCCAGCACAAUGUCUAACACAUUAUCAACAAUUAUUAUGAAAAUGUUCCAUAACAAACCACACUAAAACUCAGUGUCAUAUAUAAAAAAAGUUGGCAUCUAUAUGGCAGAGCAUACUUUUAGUAGAUGACUGGAUCAGCAGAUGUAGGCUGGUCUCAGUUGGAAAGUUAUCCUUCAGGCUAUGCAGAAUGUUAUGCAGUUAUGUUAUGUAAUUGGCUUGGCUUUUUGUUGGAGGCUCGGCUCAGCUCUGUUUGUAGGACCCAGGAUGAAGGGAAAGCAGCUAAUUAGAAUUUUUCUCAAGGCAGGAACAUUGGUAUUUUAUUGGCCAAAGUGAAUCACAUGAACAAAAUCAAAAGUAAUAGGGUGGGGAAAUAUAUUCCAUGCAUAGUAAAAGCAUUGCAAAACCACAUGGCAAAAAUCAUGCAUUUAGAGUAAAAAAAUAAUAAUGCAGUCUAUCAUGAGAGUUACUCAAUGAAGGCUUAUACAAUUAAAGAGUUCAUGUACCCACCCUGUCUCUCAUGCCAUUUCAAGUUCUUGACUUAAGAUGACAUUAAAUGCUGUGGUUAUCUUUUUAUAAUAUUAUUAGUGGUUGGUACAUACUAAAUAAUUUAAGCCUAGAAAUUAUUCCAUGUUACCUUUACCAGAGAUAUUUAGCAAAAUGGAUUUAGAAGCUCUAAAAGUAUUCUUUUGGUAGUAAUAGCAUUUCUUUUCAUGAUCCAUACCUGAGUCAAGAAGAAAGAAAACAAAUUCAAAAUGGAAGAUUUACAGAAAUACCUCCUAGUAUUGCGUUCGUGAACAGAUGGAGUCUGUUGUUUUGGUUCUUCAUUUAAGACGAAUGGUUUGAACCAGGUUUAACUUGCCUAUUUUUCAUUCCAGACAUAAUUAAUAGAUUUUUCUUUCAAGACAGUGGCUGCCUGUGAUAUGCCAACCUGAUUCUCCAACAGCCAAAGGCCCUCCUAAAAGUUGUGGCUCUGUCGAGACCCUAACCUUUCCAAAAGCACUGAACAACUUCUGCCACAUUACUAUGUGGCUGACACACCUGCUUUGAAUAACAAUCUACCCGUGCCGCUGGAUUUCCAGGUGGUGAUUUUUAUUGCUUUCCAAAAGCAUGAAAUUUGAACUUGAGUUUUCCCUGAUGUCAGAUUAGCAAAAGCACCUUAACAGUAAGCUUUUUAAAUAAAGCAACUAUUUCUGGUGGUUACCUCAUAUUUUAAGAGCCCAUUAGAACUAUAUAGAGAGUUUUCUAAAAAGCAGGGAGAAGAGUGUCAGACAUUUAAAAUUUCAACUGGUCAUCUCUCUAUUAAAAUAUUAGGUGUAGACUGGCUUACAUACAUUUUUAUGUUACAAACCAUACACCUGAUGAUAGAAUAAUACCUCUUUAGGCCAGAAAUGUAGCUUCCCUGUCUACUUUUCAAAGAAACCUGGAUCUUUUAUGUUGGAGGAGGGGGAAAAAACAGUUCUAGAUGGCACAGGGACCCAGCUAGUUGCUAUAGUGUGAGGUCAUUUUUCACUGUGUCAUAGAGCGUAACGUGAUCUUUAUAAACUCAUAACCUAUUUUAGCGAAUGAGUAAUUACAAACAAAACACCACACAGAUUGAGAUUUUACUUGGUACCUCAUUUUACUGAGGCUGAAAUGUAAAACAAAUAUAAUAAAACUGCUCUACUUGCCCCCACAAACUGGUUGCCUGGGGUAUAAUUAUCUGAUUAGUCCUGACAAACUCUUGCUCAUAAUGUGCAAAUUUGGUGUAGAGGCCUCUCAUCUCGGAUAGCUAACUACUUUGUUAUAAACACUGCUUCUAUUACACAAAAUUCAAUGCUGAAAUCAGGUUUGAAAAUCUGCUAUGAUCAUACAUGUAAAGAAAAAAAUGACUUCUGGGAAUAAAUGAUGCAUCCAAAAGCAUACAAAUAACUCUUAUUGCCCACUUCUAUACUAGGAAAGCAUGCAUUUGAGCCAUUAUUAUAGUUCUAAUCUGUUAUAGAACCAUUUAUUUAUAUUUAUUUAUUUAUUUGUACUGGGGAUUUAAGCCAGGGGUAUUCUACCACUGAUCCACAUCUCCAGCUCUUUUUAUCUUUUAUUUUGUGACAGGGUAUCACUAGGUUGCAUAGGGUCUCACCAAAUUGCUGAGGCUGGCCUUGAAAUUGUUAGUCUCCUACUCCAGCCUUCUGAGUUGCCAGGAUUAUAAAACCAUUCUUGCAGAACAUCAAAAGCAUUUUUGGCACUUCCUUCAAGUUUUAUCUUAAAUCAGUAGAUUUGAAGAAUUUUUAUUUCUAUCUCUGUGAAACAAGAAUACUUUAAAAAUGUUUUAAUAACUUAUUAUUAGGAAGACAAUGUAAAACAUUAUGACCAGUAAGGUCCAAUCAUCUGUUGAGUUCAGCAAUUUCAGUUUGCAGCCAAAAAAAAGUAAAAUUCAGAAAAUCCAGGGUCUGUUCAGGUAACAAAGCAGCCAGGCUAAAUUAUAGAUCAGCACCCGCUGUCAAGUGCUCUACUCACUCUCUAGGACUGCCUCUUGCAGUAAAACCAGGCGCAAUUUAUUUUUUAUUUUUUAUUCUAAUUCGUUAGAUAUGUCAGCAGAAUGUAUUAACAAUUCAUAUUACACAUAUAAAGCACAUUUUUCAUAUCUCUGGUUGUAUAUAAAGUAUAUUCACACCAUUUGCAUCUUCAUACAUGUACUUAGGGUAAUGAUAUCCAUCUCAUUCUACCAUCUUUUUUACCCCCAUUCCCCCACCUUUCCCCUCCCACCCCUUUGUCUUAUAUAGAGUUCAUCUAAUCCUCCCAUGCUUCCCCUCCCAACUCCACUAUAAAUCAGCUUCCUUAUAACAGAGAAAACAUUCGGCAUUUGGUUUUUGGGGAUUGGCUAACUUCACUUAGCAUUACAUUCUCCAACUCCAUUCAUUUACCUGCAAAUGCCAUGAUUUUAUUCUGUUUUAUUGCUAAGUAAUAUUCCAUUGUAUAUAUAUAUAUACUACAUUCUUUUCAUACCCUUUUUUAAUACUACAUUUUAUUUAUCUAUUCAUCUAUUGAAGGGCAUCUAGGUUAAACCAUAGCGCAAUUUGUAUGGGAUUUUAUUGAUCUGCAAACUGAAAUUGAGAAGUAUAUAAUGGAUAUUACUAGAAAUAUGGACUAGGAAUAUGGGCUUCUUAUUCUUUACUCAAUCAGUUCCUGUCAAUUUAUUUUUUUCUUUUUAUAAGAAUUAAAAUUAAUUAAUUAAGGAGAGAAAAGAAAGUUUGUAAGUUAGUUAUACAUGAACAUUUUAGCUAUACUCCAAAGCUGUACUAUCCAAUUCAGUUGCCACCAGUCAUAUGAGAUUAUUUAAAUCUAAAUUUUAAAAAAUUAUAAAUUCAGUCCCUCUGUCACAUUUUGUCACAUUUCAAAUGCUCAGUAGCUUUAUGUAGCUAGUGGUGACCCUACUGACAUCACAGGAAAUACAACGUUUCCAUCGUGGUGGAAAGUUCUAUUAGACUGAUCUUCUCUACCAUCAGGAAGUGAGGUUUCAUUAUGUUCAUUCUCUGACUAGGCCAUUCUUGGGAAUGUUUUUCAGAGUUAGUGGUAGCCUGAAAAAUCCAUCCCUGAGAAAGUCCUGGUUUCUGUCUCUGUGUUACAACCUCAAUACCAUUUGCUUGUGAGGUGUAUUCAUGUGUGCAGGACUUUUCUGGUUCAUAUCAAUAUUUUUGUCUCACAAAAACAAACAGGCACACUUUCAUUGUGUCAUAUUUCUGAUGAGAAACUUGGUACUAUACUUGAUUGGAAACACUAUAAGAUGAAAUGAAAAUUCCUCAUUUUCAUUUUUCCCUUCUAGUAAAAAAUAAUCAUUGUAUUUAAACAUGAGUCAUUUUAAGGGUUUGAGCUUACUAUUUCUAUUCAUGGCGGGUUACAAGAAACUAAAUUUUUAUGUCAAAUAUAAUGAUGAAAUAAACACUAUCAAACUAGGAGGUCUAAUGAGAGCACUUGGUCAUCAAUAUUGUAUAUUGUAAAUAUCAGAUGUCCCCAAAUGCAUCAUGUAUUGACACUUCUAGGUUAAAAAAUAUGCUUAAAAUAUUUGCUUUCCGAACUGUAUGGUUGUUGCAAUGAUUUGAUUUACUUCUCUGACAACUUGAAAUGUGUUUGAUCUGUCAGGUUUAAGAGGAGAAAAUAAUUCCCUUGUGCUAUGAUCUACUAAAGUAAGAGUCUUUUGUAAGGUAAGGGAAAUUAAAAUAGUGACAAAAAUAACAAGAGAACUGCCAGGACUCUGGAGCAUAAGAAAAACAUAAAAAUAAUUAAAUAUAGUUAUUUGGUGGAGGAAAUGAUGAAAAAUUUCCUACUUGGAGGCAGUAUGCAUAGUGAUUAAGAGGGAAGGCUUCAAAGCCAACCUGUUGCCUAGAUCUUCCAAAAGUCUGUUCUACAGUUUUCUAAAUAUGUGACUUUGAGGAAUUCAAUUAGCCUCCCUGAGGCAAGUCUAGAGUAGCCCUUAUAAAAAGAAUGCCACUGCCAAUGGCCAUUCUUGUGAAAUAAUUCUGCUAGGGACUGAAAUGUGUCUUUCAUAAAAAUUUAUAUAUUGAAGUCCUAACCCCCAUGUGACUAUAUUUGGAGUUAGGGAUGUUAUGGAGUAAUUAAAGUUGAUUGAGGUCAUAAGGGAAGGACUCUAAUCCAGUGGAAUUAGUGCCCUUAUGAUAAGAGGAACAAGCACCAGGUUCCCCCCACCCCAGUUCCCCCCCUCUCUGCCACCUCCAUUGUUUCAUUUCUGUGCACACAGUGAAGAUGCCUCUAAGGACAAAGUGAGUAGGUGGCCAUCUACAAGUCAGGAAUAGACCUUUUUGGGUAUCAACAAACUUAAUAGCAUCUUGAUCUUGGACUUGCAGCCUCCAGAACUGUGAAAGUACAUGUUUGUUAUUGUAGCAUGCAGUAGUGAUAUUUUGUUAUGGCAACAAGAGCUAAUACACAUCCCCGAACCAGUUUCCCAUUCAUCAGAGCCUCCUCAUGCUUCUUGGUCUCUAGUUUUUACCCUUGCUUCAUCUUCCUGGUUCUUUCCAUUCCAUCCAUCUAACUUAUCACACAUAAAGCAGCUUCUUCUUCUUGUGGGUCUGGAUCGUGUGUGUUAUAUGUAAUGUAGAACUGCCCAACUGAAUUCCAGCCCUCCAGUGUUAUUUCCCUGGGGAGCAACUAAAUUUUUGUCCUUCUGUCUGACAGAAUAUCUUGAAUGGGUGUCUUGAUAAAAUGGACCUGUUUGCCACAGCUCAGACAAGUCACACAUUUCCAUGCACUGCUGCAGGGUAGUCCUGAUUGGACAGGUAUCAGCCUCAACAUCCUGUUUCUAUCUCUUUCUUCCAAGCCCCUGAGAACUAGGAGGGACUUUGCCUGAUCCAAACAAAGAUGCAAUAAAUCUUAACUAAGACAAAGAUGUUCAAAAUAGACUGGUUUAUUCUACCUUAAAGACAAACUUAUUCUGGGUAUUCUCGAGACUAGAAACCAUUUAAGACAUGAUACUUCCAAUAAGGAACUUAAAACUUAUUUAGGAAAGUCAGACAUGCAAUUGAAAAACAUGUUGCAAUAAUAAAUAUGUUUCUGAAUUUCAUAGACCAGGUUCCAAAAACUGGCCUUAUGAAUUUUCCACUAGCUUGGUAGGGGGGAAUAUCUCCACCCAUGGCACUAAAACUUGUUUACAUGUUUAUGGCUAUGGGAGAUUCAGGUCCAGCCCAGGAGAAGUUCUGGUUCCCAGGAGAUAAGCUGAGUUUAUGAUCAUAAGGAAGGGAGUGAAUGUAGCCAGUCUUCCUGGCACCGGAGGAGUGAAGAUUGAGAAACAAAGGUAUUCUUAUUAGUGCCACUAGAGCUAUAUAAAGCACCAGAGAUGACUGGUUUUAAAUUGAUGAUAUCAAUUAUCAUUUAUUAAAGUUGUCAUACAUUAAAAUUUAUAAUUUAUCAAAGUAAAUGGCUUUUCCUUGUAAUUUCUGGAUGGCCAAAGUGGUUAAUGCUUUUUAGUGGAGAAGGUCACUGAAUUCAUUUUGAAUUCCUGACUGCUGAGACUGAUUCCAAGAAGUGAUUCUAUUGUGCUGUAAGCUCAUGAGCCACCCAAAUUGGCUAAAACAAUGUAUGCAAAUAGAUGUAAAAAGGCAGUCUAUUAUUGGAAUAGACAGUGAAUUGUUGAGCACAAUGGUAGGUAGGCAAAGAUUCAGGCCUUAGAAGAUGGCAUUAUGCUUUACAAUUAAAUAAAUUUUGUAUAAAAUUAAAGGGAAACAAACAAAAACCAAAUAUGUUGCUUAAAACUUCACAUUACAAGGUCUAGAUUUUCUUAUUAUCUUACCACAGCUAACAUUCUUAUCAAGUUUCCAGGUUCUUUUAAGUUCCAGAUUCAGCCUGGGAACUCUCUGGCCUCAUUUCUUCCUCUUUCCCUCCCAUCCACUGGAGUCCUCUUGGUCACCAGAAAGAAUGGGAGAGAGGUGGGGGGAAAGAUGAUAUCAUCACAUGUGUGAAAAUUUAUGUGAUUGCUAUAGUAUUUUCUGGACUGUAUUUUCCACAGCAGUUUCCUUAAUGUCAGAAGACAGUUAAGAUACAAGUUUUACAUAUAGACUGUCCUUGCAUUAUAUGGCCACAGUAGGUUCAGUCAGCUAAGACUGAGCAGUUGAUACUGGACCAGAUUUAGAAUGAAAAGAUUAAAGCACUGUUCUUGGGUGCAAACUAAAUGGGGUGCCAGAAAAGUCUGCAAUUAAGAUAACUAACAUUUAAAAAUGUAAUACAAUAUUUAAAAAACAAAAUGCAGAAAUUCAUGAGGCACAAGAUGGUAACAUUUUAAGUAAAGAGAGGAUGGUGUUGUUUGUUUUAUGACCUGUGUUUUCGAACAAUGAAAAAGAGCCAUUUCGGACCCUUAGCUUUUGUGUCCCUCACUGUGUCCUCACUGGUAAAUUUAUGUGGUUGACAAUGAGGUGGGAACAGAUGGUUCAAAGCAGAGCUUUAUAUGAAGUCAUGUUUUUUCACUUCAAAGUUUGUAUUAUCUUUUCUAACUUGGCUUAAAAUAUGGAAAGGUAUUUUGGUAAGAAUAUUUAAGGACACAGUCUUCCUUUUGACCUCAGGCUUCAGCACUGAUAUUAAACAAUCCACUCACCUUUUUAAGAGGGCAGUGAGUAGGGAGGGAAACCUCCUGUAGAAAAGGCUGAGUGUGGGACAAGCAAUGGCAGAUAUCUUUGUGUUUUCUUUUUGUUAUUGUUGUUGUUUGAACUCAGGAUACUUUACCACUGAGCUACAUCACCAGUCCUUCUUAUUUUUCAUUUUGAGACAAAGCUUGCUAAGUUACUGAGGCUGGCCUUGAACUUGUGAUCCUCCUGCCUCAACCUCCUGAGUAGUUGGGACCAGGAUUACAAAUUCACUACACCACACCAGCUAAUGACAAACAUUGUUAGACUAUUGCUCAUAGGGCAGGGGAUCUGUAACCCACUAGGAUUAACAAGAUGGUGACAGAAAUUAUCCUUGUGAUUCAGAUGGUGAAUUGAAGGUGAAAUUUGGAGGGACAGUAUCAAGUCCCAUGGUAAGACCAUUUCUCUGUAUUUGAAAAUUCCUCUGCGUCUGAUAGAAGAAAAAGUUGGCUCCGAUCUACAUAUUGUAGGGUCGGGCUCCAAAUUCCUUAAUAGGACACCCAUAGCACAAAAGUUGAUAACAAAAAUCAACAAAUGGGACUUACUUAAACUGAAAAGUUUUCUCUCAGCAAGAGAAACAAUAAAAGAGGUAAAUAGGGAGCCUACAUCAUGGGAACAAAUUUUUACUCCUCACACUUCAGAUAGAGCCCUAAUAUCCAGAGUAUACAAAGAACUCAAAAAAUUAAACAAUAAGAAAACAAAUAACCCAAUCAACAAAUGGGCCAAAGACCUGAACAGACACUUCUCAGAGGAGGACAUACAAUCAAUCAACAAGUACAUGAAAAAAUGCUCACCAUCUCUAGCAGUCAGAGAAAUGCAAAUCAAAACCACCCUAAGAUACCAUCUCACUCCAGUAAGAUUGGCAGCCAUUAUGAAGACAAACAACAACAAGUGCUGGAGAGGAUGUGGGGAAAAGGGUACUCUUGUACAUUGCUGGUGGGACUGCAAACUGGUGCGGCCAAUCUGGAAAACAGUAUGGAGACUCCUGGGAAAGCUGGGAAUGGAACCACCAUUUGACCCAGCUAUUGCCNUGGAUGUGUAACCGAUGUGAUUCUGCAAUCUGUAUUUGGGGUAAAAUUGGGAGUUCAUAACCAACUUGAAUCUAAUGUAUGAAAUAUGAUAUGUGAAGAGCUUUAUAAUGUUUUGAACAACCAAUAAAAAAAAAUUAAAAAAAAAAAGAAAAAAAAAAAAAGAAAAAUUUGAAGAGAAAAGAGAAGAGAAAAGGGAAAUUGCAUGGUAAUGGAGGGAGAUCCUCAUUGUUAUACAAAAUUACAUAUAAGAGGUUGUGAGGGGAAUGGGAAAAUAAACAAGGAGAGAAAUGAAUUACAGUAGAUGGGGUAGAGAGAGAAGAUGGGAGGGGAGGGGAGGGGAGAUAGUAGAGGAUAGGAAAGGUAGCAGAAUACAACAGUUACUAAUAGGGCAUUAUGUAAAAAUAUAGAUGUGUAACCGACGUGAUUCUGCAAUCUGUAUUUGGGGUAAAAUUGGGAGUUCAAAACCCACUUGAAUCAAAUGUAUGAAAUAUGAUAUGUCAAGAGCUUUGUAAUGUUUUGAACAACCAAUAAAAAAAAAUUUCCAUUCAAAAAAAAAAAGAAAAUUCCUCUUCCAAUGUUAAUUUAUCAAAAAAGUACAUUGUGAUAUUGAAGAUAUUACAGGACCAUAGAAGAUUGUGAAUUGAUGUUAAAAUGUUAAAAAAUAUACCAAUUAAUUUCAGAAUAAGCAAAUACAGAUGCACCUCCAUUUAUGAUGGGGGUAAAGAAAUUUAUUUAAUAUACCUACUCUACAGCACAUCACAGCUUAGCAACACCACACACUGUAAAGUGUCCCUUGUUUCUCCUCAUAAUUGCAUGGUUGAAUUGCAGUUGCUGCCCAAUAUUACAACAGAGUAUUUUACAAUGAAUUACUAUCCUGAGAAAAUUUAAAUUUCAAAGUACAAUUUCUAGCAAGUACAUGUAUUGCUUUGCACCAAUGUGAAGUUGAAAACACAAGACAGGGACCAUCUGCAAUGAGAAAAAAAAAAAUAUUUAGAUCAAGUUGAAAAGACUUUUCACCCACCACCUGCUUUGGUUUUGUGUCCUGAGGUUUUUGCCCACUUGGGACCUCACUUGUUUUCUAGGAAGUUAAUGUUUGUCAUCUCUAUUCCUUUAUCAUAGUCAUUCUGAUCCUUCUAACCACCACAAUUUCCACCAACACACACCAAGAGUUAUUCCCUAUAAACAGAACCUUCUAAGAAAAACACUUAUGUAUGUAUAAUCUUUAUUGGUUCUGUUUCUCUGGAGAACUCCAUGGUUAACGUUUUGCUGUUUCUUGGAUUAUUAUGCCUAGUGUGUGAGUAAUGGUAGUGACUUGGGAUUUGAAAUAUCAUAAUAUAUAUUUGUCUCCAUGUUUUGUUUUCACUUAAUGUAUUACAUCAUGUUUUUUUCUAUAUCAUAGAGUUGUUGGUAAACAACUUUGAAAUGUUGUGUAAUAGUUUAUAAUAUGGAUAUGCUAUUUCCUUAUUAAUGGACUUCUGGUUAUUUUCAGGUCUUUUUGAUGACAUACAUAAAGCUGCUAUUAACAUUUUUGAAUGUCAAGUUUGUCCUGAUUUCUAAUUAUUUUCUUGGGGUAGAUUCUUAGAGAAUUACUUGGUCUGGUUCAUGUUCUGGCCAACAAUAGCUGGGAGUAUCUGGGCCACUUGAGCAAUGUUCCAUUCUCUAGCCCUGUGACAGCACUUCAGAUAGUGAGGAUGAUUAAGGUGCAGAGAAGUGACUUAAUCAAGUAUGCUUAUCUGCCCCUCCCACCAUCAGAAUCUCCCUAAUGAGGCUCAGGUCUUUAUAAGACUUUCAUACGAAUUUCAAUGGUCAUUCAUGGCUGCCGACCACUUGAGAGCCUCACAUAAACUUUUGAAGGCUGAACACUAUGCAUACUUAAACUCUUCUCCCAAGUACAGCCAGCUAGGAAAAAACAUGUAUUCUUCAGUGACCCACCCCGCAAAUGGAUUUUGUCUGUUUUCCAUCUUAUGUUCACUUUUGUGUCAAUCAUGUUUGUUCUUUUGGGUCCUCCCAUAAUCAUGCUUUUGGUAGUAUUUUUAUGCUAUUUCAAUUGGUCUAUAGAUGUCCAGUGUCAGGAAAGGGAAAAAUAUCCUCUAUCUAAAUGUCUGUGGGCCCACACUCCUCCUCCCAAGCCCCCACCUAGAGGCUGAAUCCGUCUGCCUUGAAGAAAGGCUCUGAUUUGGUCUUCUUUCAAGAACUGGUUUGCUUAUCCUCUUUCCUGUGAUUUUCUCUUCUGAGAUCAUUGAACCAUAUGAAACUACUCCAGACCCUCUUUUGAUCACUGUCAUUCCUAAGAACCUCUGGACCCUUCUCUUUAUCAUUCUUAUUAAAGCAACUCAUGGACAGUAACCUUCUAGAGUCGUCUGGGUUGGUAUUGUGACUUUUGCUAUUCAACAAUAAUUGAUGAAAAUAAUAGUUAUUCACUUUCUCUGUGUAGGAUUAUUUUGCUUUUAAGUGAAAGGUUACUAAGAAAUAGAUCUUAAACCUAAAGAAACAAAUUUUCACAGAUGGUAUUUUGCAAAUGGGGUUCUAUUCUGGUAGGGAAUUUUGAAGAUAUUGGUCAGGCUAACUUGUGAAAUGUAAUCAAAGAAGUGAAAACUUGAUACAUUAAUUAAAAUGGAACUCUUGAAUUAUAGAUAAAAGUUCAUGUUUAUAGCUACCUUCUAAUACUUAAAAGACUUGUGCUUUUUAUGUGAUAUGAAAUUUACAAUUUAACAACUCUGUUUUAGCUUUUUGUUGCUGUGACUAAAAUACCUGAUAGAAACAACUUAAAAAAGAAAGGGUUUAUUUGGCUCAUGGUUUUAGUUGAUGGUUGACCAGCUCCACUUCUCUGGGCCUGAGGUGAGGCAGACCAUUACGGUGGAAGGGCACAUUGGAGGAAAGCUGCUCUUCAGCUCAUGGCAACAGGGAAGUGGGGUGGGGGUGGAUGAGUGAGGCAGGGGCAAGGAAAAAGAUAAAGUCCCCAAGGACUUGCCCCCAGUGACCUACUAGCUCCAACAAGGCCCUACUUCUAAAUUUUUAUCACCUCCUCAUAAUGUCAUCAAAUUAUUAAUCCAUCAGUGUAUUAUUCCAUUGAUCCAAUCGCUCCCCUAAAGCCUCACCUGUGAGCAUUAUUGCAUUGAGGACCAAAUCUGUAACAUAUGAAUAUUUGGGAGACACUUCAUAUUUAAAUCAUAACAAACCUACAACACUAAUACAAGACAUUAAUAAUGGGGGAAAAUGGGAAAAGAAGUGUAUAAGAACUCUGUCUAGUUUCUAUUUGAUUUUUCUAUAAAUCUAAAAUUGCCCUAAAUACAAAUUCUAUUACUUUUUAAAAGUUCAACAACUCUAUGAGGUCGGCAUUUUCAUUUUGCAAAGGAAGAAUCAGAGCCUCAGAGCAAAGCUGAAUGUAGACUCUGAUGAUUUAUGAUCUCUACUGUUCUUUUCUGUCCUUACAGAAGGAGAAUCCUAAGCUGGCUUAUUUGCUUCACAUUCAUCUUCAAGGGCUUUGGACAAAUUUCUCCCUGAGUUAGGAAGAAAAAAAGCAACAAGUUUCAGCAAAGAGUCAUCAGAGGAGUUGCACAAACUGAGAGAACUCAAAUCUCCUUGUCUUUAUUUUUCUCUUCAGUCAUGAGCGCAUAACAAUGGUUUAGCGUCUCUCAGCACUCCAAGUUAGUACUAAACAACUGAACCUAAGUGGCUCUACUUUUGGUAUGUAGAGAUUUCCCUGUGCGAAGAAUAAAGAAAACCAUUCUUCUCAGACCUAGGAAAGACUCCAGCAGCUCCAUCAAAAAAGUCACCAUUCCUUUGUGUGAUGGCUCAGGAGGCAGGAAAAUAAUCUGAGAGCCUGCAGUACUUUUAGCAGGCAUCUGGCAUCUGAAGCAAGACCAUGUCUCCAGAAAACUGCCUUCUCUUUCAGCCUGGUAACUAUGGACACUAGCCAGAGUGAUUUUGGCCCAUAUUCGUUCUUUCUGAAUCCCUCUAAAGAGUAAGGGAGGGAAAGAAGGAGAGGUGUUUUUUUUUUCUUUUUGGUAAAUUAAAAUAAAUAAAAAUAUCUACUUUUGUAGGUUAAAAACCCUUGGAUAAGUAAAAAGCUCUGAUUGUAUGCAUUGAACGCCAACUAUUUGGUAAAUGUAAAAACACACAAUCUUUUUUUACUCUUUAAGAUGGGUUGAGACUUCAUGGUUCUGAAGCCAGGGCACAGAGAUUCUAGCUUACCUUCUCUGGUCUGGCACCUUUCUACUGCUGGCAAUAAGCAUGGCUUUUACAGUGAGAUUUUUGAAGAGAGGUCUGAGUUUGAUUAACUGUGUCUUUAUGAAUAACAUCCUCAGAGAAUUCCAGGCCGUGUUCAGAUUCUUGACUGCAGCAGCCAUGGAGACUUGCUGUACAGCUGAGCUGCUCCUUGCAGCAGAGGAUUCUAACAGGUCAUAACUCUCUCGACCUGUACCAGUCAUCACCUUUUUUUUUUUUUUGUAGGGUGAUGGUACUAAAAUUUUCAUUUUGCUCACUGCUUAACUGAUUUGCCUGUUUACUGAGAAGCAUCAAGUCCAUUUUGAUAUGUAAUUCAUUUCCUGCUGGGAAGUAGCUGAUCAGGCAUAGACUUGAGAUGUUCUCAGAGCAUGAAAAUGUAGCUAAUUAGAGGUUAAGGUAAAUGAAGAGAAGAGGAAAUUUUGUAAUAAUUAUUUUCAUCUCAUGUACUUCUUACUACUUCAGUCUUCGAAUCUCCCUCAGAGAGGUACUGCUGGUGGAGUAUUCGAAUCAUGGAGGAUCAGCCUUGGUAACAUGUUCAGGCCACACCCAUCACCAUGGGCAAAUCCAGCUACUGGAUGGAGGAACUUUCCCAGUUGGUCUGUCUGCCAGUUUGCGGAUUUAAUUGAGUGGAAAAUCAAAUGGCAGUUCAUGUUUUUUUCCUUCUCAACAGAGUCCACCAAAGGGGGAAAAAAGCCAUUAAUCUUUCCUGUGUUAAUUGAGAACACUGGAUACCAUUAUGAAACCAUUUCCCUUAGAGUCAUUUGAAUCUUAGUUCAAGUUUGUUGAACUUGUAAUUGUAGUAGGCGUAAUCAUGUCACAUUGUACUGCAUUACAGUGUGAUUGCUUUUCAUUCUACAUGGCUCAUAAAGCAAAAUAAAUUUUGAAUAACCAAUAGUGUGGA